UUAUAGAAUUAAUAUAAUAAAUAGGAUUUGGUUUGUUUAUUUUAUUAUUGUAUUGUUUAUUUUAUUAUUAUUUAUCAUUUCUAGAUCUGUGGAUUUAUCAACAUCAAAUUUGUAAAAAAGAACAAAUUAUUCCUGGCAAUUAGGUUAGGUAUAAUGAAAAAAGGGAUGAAAAGUCUUUUGCUUGUUUCUAUUCUUUCUCUAGGAAUUGCUUUUACCGCAUUCAAAACAAAAUAUGUAUAUUGUGAAGAAGACUAUUUGUCUUUACCUCUUUUUUUUCCUUUUUUCAAUCUAAAUUGGACUAAAUUGGGGGGGGUGUAAUUAUAUUCCUAUUGUCAGUGUCAGAUUUAAAUGUUACAUAAUAGGUUUUGUUUUCUAAAUUCAAUUUGAGUAGAUACUAAACAUAAGAUAAGUAAGUGGAGAAUAGAAAGGAAGGAUAAAUUAAAUUAGAGGAACAAAUAAUUACAGGGAGUAUUCUUCGUCUUUCUAGCCUUCGACACAAGAAAAGGAAUUUUACACACCCUUUUCUUGUGUCGAAAUAAUAACAAUUCCGGGACCCGUUCGUCAAAGAUUUCUAUUCUUAGUUUUGAUUUUUUCCAGAUUUUUCAGAACCCUUUAUUUUUUCUAUUUACUUAUAAUAGAAUAAGUAAUAAGGAUAAUAUAAUAAGUAUAAAAUAAGUCGAAAUAAGUAUAAUAUACUAAAUAAUGGACAACCAAAAAAAAAGAGAAGGAAUCCUUACCGAUUUUUUUUGAUAAAAUAGAAUCAAGGCAAUAAACUUAUAAAAUAAUUUCAAACUUUGAUGAAAUACUAAAAUAAAUCGAGUAAGGUUGGACUAGUCUAGAAAAUGUUUGAUUGAUAUCUAGUCGACAGAAAAAAAAAAUAUUAAAUAUAUAUUGUAUUGUGUCAUCCAAUUGAGUGAUUCCUUUUUUCUUCUAACCUUGAAUGUAUUGAUAGAUACUAUCGAAGAGCAGAUGUUAUGAAUCAAUUAAUUGAAAUUGAGUUCAUUUUUCAAAAAAAUCAUCGGAAAAAGUGAUCCAUUUGUUGUCAUUUAUACGACCAAAAUAUUAUGAUCAUGAUCAUUAAGAAUUCAACGGAACCCUUCCUCGUGAAUCAGACAAAGAAAGAGGGGGUGGCCUCGUUGAGUUCUUACACUUUCAUGCCUAUAACUUAGUUCGUCCCAUUAUCCAUUAUUCCAUAUUACAAGGACGAACCCAAUCCCGAAUAUGAACCAUAAAAGAAAAUACCUAUUAAACCAAUCACAGGAAUACCAGUUAUCGUACCUAUUAUCCAAAGAGGAAUCCUUCCAGUAGUAUUGGCCAUUUAUCCCGCUUCCCUUCGCAUUUCAUCAAAUGGUCAUGGUAAAGACAUAAACAGUCAUAGAUAAUUAUGAGAUACAAUCCUUCCGAAUGGGAUAAGAGAAUUCCUACUAUUAUUUAGUAUUCUACUACUCUUUUUUUUUCUUAAUUGAAGAAAUAAUUGGAAAAUAACACAACAAGUACAAAAAUGAGUAAUAACCCCCAGUAGAGACUGGUACGAUUCAAUUCAACAUUUUGUACAAGCCAAUAUUAGCGCUAUGGUGUGUAAAUGUAACUCGUUGUUUAAAGAACUAUUCAGAGUUCCUAGAGCUCCUUGUAAAGCUUGUUGGAAAACCCGUUGUCGGACUUGAUUAAUCGCUCAUUGUUGUUCAAAAUAAAUGGUUUCAUUUUUGUAAUUUUCUAAUUGUUCCAAAAUCUUAUAAGUUGAAUUAAUCAAAUUCAAUUUUUCUCGUUCUAUCUCAGAGUAUCCAUUCACUCGAAACUGAUCCGCCUCCAUUUCAACUGAGGGCCUGGGCCUUUUCCAGCCGUUCAAUAGCCCUCUGAAUUUCGAAUAGUAUUCAAGAUCCUCUCUUUUCGAUUAUCUAAUAAAUCACUUAAUGAAAGUAGAUUAUCUUUCCAUUCAUUUUUUUUAUUUCAAAAAUUCCAUGAUCCCUUCUCGAACCAAACAUGAACCUUUCAAUUCAUUUGCUCUCACGCUCAAUUAUUUCUUAUUUAUUGGGAAUUAAUUCUCAAUAUCUUUUUUUUCUAAUGUAAUGAGCUUACCCUCUCCCUCUCGGCUCUAUACAUAUUCCAAAAUAUCGAAACUGAUUACUAAUCCAAGGCCAGAAUAUUCGGAGGAUUCUUCGGACCAAAAUAGAAAAUAUAUCAAAAAACUAAAAAGUAUAAUAAAUAAAUAAAAAAUAAAAAUUUACAUAUAAUUUGGAAUUUCUAAUUGUACUUAGAAUUGUAUAAUGUAUAAUUGUAAUUUUUCAGCAAAGUUGUUUAUUUUUUUUCUUCAAAUUCAAAGAAUUCUUCUCCCUUUAUACAUAGGUCAUCAAUUCAGCAUUGGAAAAAGGGGUUCAAAUCGUUUUAUCGACAUGAGUGUUUUAUAUCAAAAAAAAACAUUUUGUUUUGAAAAUAUUUUUGUAUUUAGUAACAUAGUAGUAGAAAGAGUACCCUGCUGCAUCUGAACUUCAAACGAGUUUGGCCAUUAACCAAUUAGAUCUUUUUCCUAAAAUUUAGGGUUGGUCCAUUUUUUUAUUACUUAUAUUUAUAUCAUAUUUACCUUCGAUCAAUAUUAUUCGAUCAAUAUUAUCUUUAUCUUGAUAUUGUUUUUGUUUAUUCAAUUUCAAUAUUAUGAGUCCUAAUUAGAUCGGGGGCAAACUCCUACGAAAAGAUCGCUUGGAUUUAAGAAAGAGUCACUUGGAUUUAUCCAUGAUUUCUUUAUUCCUUAUUUCUAAAAAGAAUCCUAUCCCUAUUUCUAUUUCUAAAAUCCUAUUUUGAAAAUUCAAAUUAUAGAAUUAAUAUAAUAAAUAGGAUUUGGUUUGUUUAUUUUAUUAUUAUAUUGUUUAUUUUAGUAUUAUUUAUCAUUUCAAUAUAUAAUUUUAAUAUAUAUAAAUUUUAAUAUAUUAAUAAUAUAUAAAUAAUAUUAAUAAUAUAAUAAUACAGAAAGAAAAAAUGCGUUAUAUAACUAAUUAUAUACUUAUACUUAAUAUAUUAUAUACCUAAUGUCAUAUUUUCAUAUUCUCAGGAAGUGGUGACAUACGAGCACUUGAUUCGAUUUAUUUCUUUAUCUCCCCGUGAAUUGUAUGUUUUUAACAAUAACGACAGAAUUUCUUCAAUUCCAAUCGAUUGGGCAUAUUGUGUUGAAUUUUUUGAGUAAUAUACCUGGAAAUACCCGUUGAUUCCUUAUUAACGUCGUUUUGAACACAACUGGUACAGUUGGGCUGGUUUUGAGCUGCCCUUAGAGCUGCCCGAUUCUCUCUUUCGGUACCAGACGGGACCAAAACCCGUUGCCUUACCACUUGGCCACGCCCCAUUUAGAUUUCUAUUUGAAACUACUAAACACUAAUAUGGGUAUUCCUUGUUCGUCAAUUCCAGUUCCAAAUAGCUAUAGCUAUGGAAUAGAUUCUUGCUACGAUUUUUGCACGUAUGGAUAGAGAAUUAAAUCGAAUUUAUUGAUCAUUGCAUAGAAUUCAAUUAAGAUAUUGUAUGAAAGUAUGAUUUUUUCUACCAAAUAUUCAACGUAUUUCUCAUAUUAUUCGAUUGAUUAAUAGUUUGAAAUCGUUCUUAUUUCUAUUUUGAAUUUGUAAAUAAAAAAGAUUUAUGAUUAUGAUAUAGGUGGUAAUCAUAAAUGUAUUACCAAUUGGGUUUUUUCUAAACGGAGCUCAUAAUAAAUAAGACUGUAAAAAAAAGGAUUCUUUUAUUUUAUAACCCCAAUACAUCGCGCACAACUAUACUAUCAUAUAUCAUAUAUAAUAUGAGAAAACAAUAGAUUAUGUAUGCUUAAUUUUAAUCAAUCUAAAACGACUCCAUUGUUACUGCUCAAAGGAGAAGUAAUAGGUAGGGAUGAUAGGAUUUGAACCCGUGACAUUUUGUACCCAAAACAAACGCGCUACCAAGCUGCGCUCCAUCCCUUUCAAUUGGCCUACAAUGUCAUUGUAGAGAAUCCCUGUCGGAAAAAGUAGGAGUCCCAUUCCUAUUAAAAUAGGAAUGGGAAGUUGAACAAAAGGUAUGAUCCAUGAAUAUUGAUAUGCAUGCUCAAUAAAAACUUUUUUGUUAUUCUUUCUUAAUUAAUCGUCUCUGAUUCACAGGCUUUUAUCUCUUUUGAUUGAAAAGGAGUAAUAAAAAAAUCGAGAGAUUAUAAAGUUAACUGGAAUUUUCUAUUCUUAAUUUUUUAAUCUUUCGCAACUAUUUCAAAAAUAUUCAAAUUUCGGAGUUAGAAGUAAUCAAAUGAUCUCGCUGAGUUACUAUAAUGAAAAACAAAAGAAUUCUUUUUUUCAUUAUAGUAAUAUUUUUUCUGAAAAUAUCAAUUAUUAUUUAUUAUUACAUAUUACAAUAAUUUCUAUUUACAAUAAGUUAGAUACAUCAAUCAAAAAUACAAAGAAUUCCCCCCCCCAAAAAAAAGUAUGAUAUAAAUCAUAGGAUGUCCUAGAACUUAAAAGAAAAACGAAUUAUUUGAGUUUGUUUAUUCGAACUUAUUAACUAGUUCAUUUUCAUUGCGGAACUGAUUGAUUGUCCUCCACUACAAUAAAUGAACCUUUUCUUGUAGGAAAGACUAUCCGAUAUUUUCUUUAUAUUUACAUAUAAUUAAAAGAAAAAUGACUAUUACUAUAAUAAAAUAUUCUUUUUUUUUCAAAAUUAUGUAUCCUUUAACAGAUUAACAACGAGUCUCAUUCGAAUUUGGUUGAAAAUGAAAAUUAGGCAUACCUUCUCUUCGAGCUUGACCAAUUACCAAUUUAUGGAAAAAAAAAUCAAAUUCAAGUUUGCAUAGGUAGAUAAAAUGGGUUUUACACUUUUUAUUUUGAUGUAGUUUUCAUGUAUAAAUGGAGAUGUAUAAUUCUCUUUAUGAUAAACAGAUCUAUUUUGCAAGUUCGUUAUUACGGGUAGUUCCUACAAAGGAUCAGACUAAUGACGUAUACAAUACUUGAAUUCUCGAUGUAGAUGCUACAUAGUUGGUUCUCAUCCUUCAGAGACUACGAGUGUAAUAGGAGCAUCCGUCGACAAAAGGAUCACCCUAAGAUGAUCAUCUCAUGGCUAUUGAGAACGAAUCAAAUUAGAUGGUUCUAUUUCUCAAUAUUUCUGACUUGCUCUUAUGGAACCAAGGUCGAAAAGAUUGAGAAAAAUCAAUCAUUCACAACCACUGAUGAAGAGAUGAAAUAUAACCAAGGUAUAUCUUUUUGAUCAGAGAUUGAAUCGAUCAUCAGAAGAAGAAUUAGGCCAAAAAUUAGGAUACAUUAUGGGAAAAUAAAACUUCCAUCGAAGAGAAGCAAAUGAAAGGCUUUCAUAAAAAUUCUCGUAGAAUCGAGAAUGAAGUUUUCAUUCUGUACAUGCCAGAUCAUGAAUUAGUAACUGCAUCCAAUCUCCAAAAAAAAUCCCAAUUGUUUCGAACUUUCUAGUUUUGGAAUGGGAAUAUUUACGGAAUCCUCAUGAAUAGAAUCAAACCUUAUUCCAUGGUAUUUACAUGAGAUUCCUCUUUCUUAUUCUUAAGCAAGUCCCCGAGAAGGCUUAGUUGAUCCAUGAUUUAUGUUUCAGCUUCCGUUUCCUUUUUGUUUGUUUCGGAUCGAAUCCCUCCUCGCCCACAACCGACUCAAAAGCGAAGGACCUUUCCCUCUGGGGGUAGGAAAAUCAUGAUCGGGAUAGCGGACCCAAAGCUAUGGAACUUGGGCGUGGGUCUUUUGCCGAAAUGGAGUGGCCUUUUAUUUAUUAUUUAUCGUAUAUUUACUUUUCUAUUUUAUAUUUAUAUAUAGUAUUACUAGCCAAAACAAAAUAAAAUAAGCAUAUUUUUUUAUUUUACGACCCGUAACUCUUCCUCAGCCAGGCUUGGGCAGAAUAGUAGAGCAAGUACAAGUAUUAGUAGCAUAGAAAAAAUGCGCUCCUCGUCAUUAAAUUAAUAUGUUUGCUCGCGGUAAUUGUGGCCUCUCGGGAGAAUCGAUGACUGCAUCAUUGAGGCAUUUGCUAGUACUAGUACAUCUAAGAAUUCUUAAUUGGCUGGUUGUAAAUAGCCCUGGGACUAUGGAACAAAGGAUUAUCCCGGUCAAAGCGAACCCUUUCAUUCUGACAUUCUGAAUUCUUUAAUUCGGAAUGAAUCAAAUCUCCUCAAGUAGGAUUCGAACCUACGACCAAUCAGUUAACAGCUGACCGCUCUACCGCUGAGCUACUGAGGAACAACGGAAGAUUAGAUCUCAUAGAGUUCAAUUCUCAUUCUCAACGCAUGACUAAUAUGAACUCGAAGUUUCCUUCGUAACCCCCGGAACUUCUUCGUAGUGGCUCCGUUCCAUGCCUCAUUUCAUAGGGAACCUCAAAGUGGCUCUAUUUCAUUAUAUUCUAUAACGAGCUCGGUUUAUGGAAGAAGGAGAAGAAGGAAUCGAGAAGAGAGUAUCAGCAACAACUGGGUUUAUUGCAGGCCAGCUCAUGAUGUUCAUAUCAAUCUACUAUGUACCUUUGCAUUUAGCAUUGGGUAAACCUCAUACAAUAACUGUCCUAAUUCUACCGUAUCUUUUGUUUCAUUUCAUCUGGAACAAUCACAAACACUUUUUUGAUCAUAGACGUCCUACCAGAAAUGAAUUCCACUACUAAACCAAUUAACAAUCAAAAUUAUAUAACAAUUCAAAUGCUUAUCAAUUAAUCAAAUUACAAGUUAUUAGCAAUUAAUAUUAAUUUAUAUUAUUUGUUAUUAAUACUAAGUAAUUAAUAAUAUUUAUAUUAUUAUAUUAAUAUUAAUAUAUUUCGAUUUAUAAAUCUAUAUUUCUAUAUUAUUUAUUUUAUUAUUCUAUCUAUUAUUAUAUUAUCUAUUAUUAUAUUAUCUAUUUAUAUAUUAUUUUUAUAUAUUAUUAUAUAUAUUUUUAUUUCUAUUUAGUUAUUAUUUAGUUAUUAUUUAUAUUUAGUAUAUUUAGAAUUUAUUAUUAUUUAAUUUAAGUUAAAUAGAAAAAUUAAUAAUUUAAUUUAAGUAUAAUUAAAAUAAAUUAUUAAUUUAAUAAUUUAGAAUUUCAUUUUUUUAUUAUGAUUUCGAUUUUAUUAUUUUCUUUUCAUUCAUCAUUCAAAUUCUAUUUAUUUCAUUCAAGUUACAUUACAGAUUACAGAAGUUUGACUGACCUCCCCUCUAAUUUUUUUUUUCAUUUUGGCAACUUAUACUUCUAUAUUAUUGAAUGUGUCUCAAAAUCUGAAAAAUUCGUGGGAGGGGUCAUUUUUGAAUCCAGAAUGGAUAGAUUCAAGAAAUAAGAGAAUUAAGGAUACCCAUUAGAAAAACUAAUGUAUAAAUCGUGAAUCAAAAAUGGAAAAUCAUAAAAGAUGGAAAAAGCUUCCGGCUCUAGUCAUUCCAUUAUAUUGACAAUUUCAAAAAACUGCUCAUACUAUGAGCAUAGUAUGGUCGCGGUCAGGCAAGUAUGCCCCCAUCGUCUAGCGGUUCAGGACACCUCUCUUUUAAGGAGGCGGCGGGGAUUCGACUUCCCCUGGGGAUAGGGUACUACGAAAGGAAGUUGAUCAUGGAUUAUCAAUAAACCUAGAAUUGAUUCUUCCUGGGUCGAUGCCCGAGCGGUUAAUAGGGCUGGACUGUAAAUUCGUUGGCAAUAUGUCUACGCUGGUUCAAAUUUAGAUUGUAUCCAUGUGAGAUAAUGCUAAAUAAAAAAUAAAAGGAAGAGACGAAUUUACAUUACAAAAAACAAUAUUAAAAAAUGAUUAGGAAAAAAAGGGGGUAAAAUUAGGUAUAUGGAACAACUAAAUAAAACAUCAAUAUCAGUAUUUGAUUGAGCUAAGUUCAUGCAAUUUAUUUUAUUAUUUAUGAAAAAAAAAUUUCUUUUGGUCAAUCAUUGAAUUGAAUGAAGAAAUCGACUAAAAUGAGAAUCAUUCUAUAUUUAUAUAAAGAACAGCUUUUUUAAAAUCAUAGACCCUAAUAUAGUAAUAUAAUAUUACUAAUAUUACUGAAUUUAUUUUCUAGUUUAUUUUAUAUUUUAGUAUAUUUUACAUCUAAAUUAUAUAGAAAAAUUUUUAUAUAGAUUUCAUGUAAUCGAUCGAUUUAAUAGAUUUAAUAUAGAUUAAAUUUAUUUUGAAUAGAUUUAAUAUAGAUUAAAUUUAUUUCUAUUUAGUUUAGAGUUCUAAAUAGAGAUAAUUAGAGUCAAAAUCUUUUUAUGCAUUUAUAUAUUUUAUGAUUAUAUAAAUGAAAUGAUACGUUAUAAGUCUAGAUAAUUAGAAUGAAACUCUUUUUAGACUCAAAAAGUUGAAUUAUCUUCGAAUUCGAAAUAGAAAUGAAUGGAAUAAUUAGUUCUAGUUAUUAAAUAUAAAUAAUUAGUUCUAGCUAUUAUACUAUAAAAAAAAAGAAAGGUCAAAACAAUGAUUUUUGCUUUUUAACAGUUUGGGGAAUGGAAACUGAACUACCUUUCGGCUCUCCUCGAAAACGACGUUCUUUUUUUGAGCCUAUUUUUAAAGAACUAAAAAAAAUGGAAAACGAAAUGUUUUAUAGCUUUAACAAUUUUAAAAGAAAAAAAUUAAAUUGUUUCGAAAAGCUUCAAAAGAAACAAAAAAAUGGAUCACUCAAAGCAUUCUAUUUCUAAAAGAAUAAUAAAAGAACUUUCAAAAAUAAAUCCACUUCCAUUUUUUGGGUUGAGAGAACCAUAUGAAUUGGGCGAAACUAAAAAGGAUUUGAUAAUCAGGAAUAAGAUGAUUCACAAAUCAUCCCUUCAAAUUCAAUCUAUGGCGUAGAAAAAUUUAUUUUCUAGUUUAUUUUAUAUUUUAGUAUAUUUUACAUCUAAAUUAUAUAGAAAAUUUUUUAUAUAGAUUUCAUUUAAUCGAUGGAUUUAAUAGAUUUAAUAUAGAUUAAAUUUAUUUUGAAUAGAUUGUAAGCAUUAAAGCUUAGUAAGUCCACAUGCAAAAUGAUAGUAAACCAUAAUCAUACAAUGACAUAAUAUCAACCACAAAGAUUAUUCAUCAUCCAAUCAUUUUAACUCCUUUAUCAAGUGUCCAUGUAUAUACUUUCUCAUCACAUAUCAUUCUUUAUCAAGGCAUUAUUCAUGGGUUUAGCGUACAUACCUGUACUCAUCGUAGUAUAUCAUAUAACCAUACCUCUUUAACAUGCCCUCCUCGUGACUUUCAUCACAUCCAUUAUAUUACUUUUUGAACACUUAGAAUACUAUUGGAUACGCGGAAAACUUGCAUAUAAGUGCCACAUAUACAUAUGUAGCCAAAGCUACCUCAUAUCAUGUAAUGCUCACAAUAGAGCUACUCACGGGCUUGCUCAUAUAAGGUCAAGGUGUAACUAUACGGGCUGCUCACACAAGCUGUUAGGUAUCCCACCCACUCAAGGAUUACCUAGCCACUGGUAGGACACACAAGACCAUUGCCCGAAACCCAAUUACAUGUAUCGCAUCCAUUAUGAACUCAGACCAACUCAACGAGCUCGGACGCCACAUACAUAUCACGAACCCAGACCAACUCAAUGAGUUCAGAUUUCUUAAUUCCUAGUGACAUGUCACUUGUAUCCUAAACUAUUCCUAAGGUUCAAACUGGAUUCUUUCUCAUAUACACAUAGCAUCUCCAUCGUACUUGCUCGUAACAUCGUGGAUAACGACUAAUAUCAUUCAUACUUACAAAGUUAUCAUUAGGCAUAGCAUACAUAAUAUUGAUAAAACAUUUAUCACAUAAUGUCAACAAAUCAAAAUAUAACACAUUGUCACAUUAUUUACACAUGUACUUACCUCGGUACAAAAUGAUGAUAAUCGAGCCUAAUCGUCGUAUACUUUAUUCUUUCCUCGAUCAAGACCUUGUUCAUAUUUUUCUUUAUCUAUAAUGCCAAAUUUAACUUGUUUAUUAAUCACAUUAUUCAAAUCAAACCAUAAUUCAUGUUUUGGUUUUUACCCUUAACUUUUUACUUAUUUACGAUUUAGUUCCUAGACUCAUAAAAUGAAAUGUAUGUAUUUUCUUGGUUACCCCAACCUAUACAAGGCUCAUAUCAACCCACAUUUUUCCUUUAUUUGACAUUUUUACUACCCACUUUUACACUUUUACAAACAAGUCCCCAUUUUUGGUGUUUUCACUAAAAAUUAUCUAGUAAAAGAUGUUGAUCAUGCAUCAAACUUUCAUAUUCCUCUAUUAAUCAUCAAAAUACAUGCAUGUUACAAAUGGGUCAAAUUUCAUACAUGAACCCUAGCUCAAAAUAUAGCUAGAAAUGGAUAAAUCAUAUUUUAAGGACUUCAAAAAUGCAAAGGACAUUAAAAACGGGGUUAGGGAACACUUACAAUCAAGCUUGAGAUGUUGAAGAAAACGCUAGCUAUGGCUAUUGGAAAUUUCGGCUAACACUUAGAGAAGAUGAGCACAUUUUUGCUUUGAUUUUCUCUUUUUUAUUCUUUUAAUUACCAAAUGACCAAAAUGCCCUUAAGGUCUUUCUUUCAAAUUUUUCCUAUGCAUGUCCAUUUUUGUCCAAAAUUAUAGAAAUUGGUCAAAUUGCUAAUUAGGACCUCCUAAUUUAUAAUCUAAAUAAAUUUCAUGCAAAAUCUUCUACAAUUCAAGUUUUGCAUUUUAUUCAAUUUGGUCCCUAAAGUGCAAUUAGACAUUUUAUGCAUAGAAUUUCUUCAAGAAACUUUCACAUAAGCAUGCAUUCACAUCAUAGACCUCAUAGGAAUCAUAUAAUAAUUAUUUUUAUCUCAUAUUUGUGGUUUUGAAGCCACUAUUAUGACUAUGCCCUAAUUUGGGAUGUUACAAUUCUGAGGUAGUUGAAGCCUCUGAUUCUAGCAAAUGGCUCGUUGCUAUGGAAGAAGAGAUGGAUCACUUCAAAAACUGAGACCUGGCAUCCAGUAAAACCACCCAUAGGUGAGAAAAUAGUUAGUUGCAAAUAGGUGUUUAAGAAGAAAGAAAGUUUUGGUCCAAACGAAAUUAAGUACAAAGCAAGAUUGAUUGCAAAGGGCUGUAGUCAAUUUGAUAGAGUGGAUUUUCACGAUGUUUUUUUUCCCGCUGUGAAACGUACAUCCAUUUGAGCCCUUUUGGCUCUUGUUGCAUCAAACAAUCUUAAGUUAGAGUGAUUAGAUGUAAAGACUGCUUUACUUCAUGGUGACCUUGAGAGGACAUAUACAUAUAAAAACUAGAAGAUUUUAGAACUGAAGGUAAGGAAGAUCAUGUUUACCUUCUUAGAAAAUCAUUAUAUGGUUUGAAAUAGUCUCCUAGGCAGUGGUACAAAAAGUUAUAUCCAUUCAUGUUAAGUAUUGGUUUUUCUCAAACUAAGUAUGACAGUUGUUUAUAUUUACAAUGUCUUAAUGAUGGUUCAUUUAUAUAUUUAUUGCUUUCUGUUGAUGAUAUGUUGAUAGGAGCUAAGGAUCCAUCGCAAUAGAAAGACUUAAAAUAAUGCUUAACUCUAUGUUUGAGAUGAAUGAUUUAGGUGCAACGAAGAAAAUUUUGGGGAUGGAAAUUUUAAGGGAUAGAUGUUUUGGGAAAUUUUUUUUAUCACAAUAUAGGUACAUUUAAAAGAUCCUUGAGCGAUUUGAGAUGUGAGACUCAAAAUCGGUAAGUACUCCUUUAGCUGCACACUUUAAAUUGUCAACUUCAUAUUCUCCCCAAUGAAGAAAAAGAGUGGUACAUGUCAAAAUUACCUUAUUCAAGUGCAGUUGGAAGUUUCAUGUAUGCAAUGGUAUGUACUCGUCCUGAUAUUUACAUGCUGUUAGUGUUAUUAGUAGAUACAUGACAAAACUGCGUAAGUUACACUAGCAUGCAAUUAAGUGUAUUUUCAAAUAUUUACGAUGUACUUCUAACAUGUGCAUAGAGUUCAAAAGAAACCCAAAUGGCUUAGUUUGAUAUAUUGAUUCAGAUUAUGCAAAGACUUAGAUCGAAGGAGGUCUCUCACAAGCUAUCUAUUCGUUUUUGGUGAUUGUGCCAUCAGUUGAAAAGGUACACUUCAAGCUACUAUAGUCUUAUUAAUACUAAAACAAAAUACAAUUACUGAAGCAAUAAAAGAAGCGAUUUGGUUAAAAGGCCUGUUUAGUGAACAGGUAAGUGAAAAGGGGCAACUAUAGUAUAUUGUGAUAGUUAAAGUGUCAUACAUCUCACCAAAGAUCAAAUGCAUCAUGAGAGAACAAAACACAUAGACAUUUAUUAUCACUUUGUCUGAGAGGUGAUCAUUCAAGGGAUGUUCAGAUUCUUAAAAUUGGCACAAAACUCAAUACGACCAACAUGUUGACAAAGAGUCUUCCAAUUUCAAAUUUUAAGCAUUUUUGGACUUGGUGAGUAUCCGAAAAAGAUCAAAUUAGGCCCAUAAUAGGGCUUGGCAUAGAAGUUAAGUCAUAUACAAGUCAAUGUGGAGAUUUGUGGAGUUAUGCCUCACAUUUUCGGACCAAAUAGUGUGUAACAUCGUGGUGAGAAAGUGUUCUUCAUCCCGAUGAAUAGUCAACAUCACGAAUAGAAGAGAGCCAUUAUCCCGAUGAUGCAAUGCCACAUCUCGACAUGGCGACGUACACAUCAAGUUUUUUAGCUUUCUUCUCCCAGUUAACCCUACUUCUAGUAUCCUACUUAAAUUUUGAUUAACCUACAAAUAUUUUAGUCAUAUAUGCUAUGAAUUUCAACCUAUAAAUAGACCUUAGUUACUAUUUUUUUCAUGAAUUUUUAAUAAUUUUUAAUCAAAUUGAUGAUUUUAGCGGGUGAACCAUAUGAUUCUAAAGUUAGCCUAAUUGAAAAUAUUUUUUAGCUAUUUCUUUAGUAGGGAUAUCUAGAGUUCACCUAGUAUUUUGCAUUGUUUUAUUGCCUUUUCUUUUUCCUUCCGAUAGAGAAAUCAAAUCGUAAAUAGCAUCUUCAUUUAUUCUAAUAUUGUUAAAUAUGACUCCUAUUUUCAGUCAAAUUUGAGAAAUAAAAUUUCAGUUAAACUCUAUUUACUUGUUUCAAUCAAACACUGAUUAGUUUAGAUUAUUUUAUAUUAUUUGACUUAUGAAUUUAGCCUAUAAAUAGGCUCUUUUACAACAUUAGAAAACAUGCCCAUUAGAGAUUAGAACUCAUAACACAUUUAGAGAAUUUUGUGUUUACGUUUUGAGGAUUCUUUAUUUUCGGGUUUUCGGGGUUUAGUCUUUAUCUUCAUCUUUUGUACUCUUCGUUCUUUUGCCAUUAUAGUAAAAUUAUCUUUGCCCGUGGUUUUUUAUCCUCUUUGGAGGGGGUUUUCUAUGUUAAAUUUGUGUGUUCAAUUUCUCAAUUUAUUCCGUUAUUUUUCUUGUUCGUUCCUUAAUCAGGUCGAAAUCCUAACAAGUGGUAUCAGAGCUAGUUCAAUUUUCAUAGAUCAGCCCGUUCAGAGAUGGCAACAACAAGGUUUGAAAUUGAGAAGUUCAAUGGUGAGACAAAUUUCAAUCUGUGGCAAGUGCAGAUGAUGGCAAUUCUAGUUCAAUCAGGCUUGAAAAAGGUUGUUAUCGGGAAAAAGCCUGAGAAUCUAAAUAAAACAGAAUGGGAAGAACUUGAUGAAAAUGCUUUGUCUGCAAUCCAGUUGUGCCUCGCGAAUACGGUAUUGCUAGAGGUAUUGAUGGAGAAUACCUCAUCCGCCUUGUGGAAAAGGUUAGAAACUCUUUAUGCGACUAAGUCUCUGGCUAAUCAUUUAGUGUUGAAACAACGUCUAUUUACGUUUCGCAUGAACGAAGGUGAGCUUCUUAGAGAUCAAAUCAGUCAAUUUAUUACUCUUUUAAAUGAUUUAAAUAAUGUUAAGGUUCAUAUUGACGAUGAAGAUAUUAUUGUGCUCUUUACCCCCUUCAUACAAGUCUUUUAGAGAGACCCUGAUUUAUGGCAGAGACAAACUCUCAUUCGAAGAUGUGAAGGGUCAUUUGUUGAGUAAAGACAAACUCGGUAAUGAGCUUCAUUUGGAUAGCAAGACAGAUAGGCAAGCUUGCGUUUUGGUAGCAUCAAAAAAACGAGAUAAAAGGUGUCGCUAUUGUAAAAAGUUAGGUCACAUCAAAGCAGAUUGUUAUAAACUGCGAAAUAAAAAAGCUGCUAAGAGUAACGAGGAAGAUGUAGCUGGUGCUAAUUUGGCCGAUGACAAUGGUGAUGAUUUCUUGUUAGUGUCAACAAGCGAUAACACCAAGCUCACGUCCGAGUGGAUCCUAGAUUCAGGAUGUUCUUUCCACAUGGGUCCCAAUAAAGAAUGGUUCUCCACAUAUAGUUCGAUUGAAGGUGGAGUUGUGUGCAUGGGAAACGAUUCAUCUAGUAAGGUAGUUGGUAUUGGUACUGUUAAAAUUAAGAUGCACGAUGGGACGAUUAGGACACUCUCAGAUGUCAGGUAUGUACCUGAUUUACGAAAGAAUCUCAUCUAUUUAAGUAUUUAGACUUGAAAGGAUGCAAAAUCAACAUCGAGUCGAGAGGCAUUAAAGUAUCUCAUGGAGCUCUCGUUUUGUUAAAAGGUAAAAGAACCGGAAGCCUUUAUAUUCUGGAAGGUUAUACAGUGACCGGUGAAAUUGGACGUCCCUCGUCCGUUACGGAGUUGAACUCAACUUGUUUGGAGCGGAGGCAACUUGGUCAUAGGAGGAAAAAAGGUAUGACUAUUUCGUUGAAGAGAGGUUCUCUUUUGGAUGCAAGUUUUGAAAAGUUAGGGCACUGUGUUCGUAAAAAUCAGACCCGGGUUAGUUUUGAUUUGGCAGUAUACAAGUCGAAGGCUAGAAGUCUUCCAAUUUCUAAGCACAAAUUCGACUCAGUUAAUUCCCUGCAUAGUUCAAUAUAGGCUCGUGGUAGGCUUUGGCAAAGAUAGCGUUGUGGAAAUAUGAGUCAAGGUAGAGAUUAGUUAAAUAUGACUCAUAUUUUCAGUCAAAUUUGAGAAAUAAUAUUUCAGUUAAACUCUAUUUACUUGUUUCAAUCAAAAACUGAUAAGUUUAGAUUAUUUUACUAUUAUUUGACUUAUGAAUUUAGCCUAUAAAUAGACUCUUUUACAACAUUAAAAAACACAUCCAUUAGAGAUUAGAACUCAUAACACAUUUAGAGAAUUUUGUGUUUACGUUUUGAGGAUUCUUUAUUUUCGGGUUUUCGGGGUUAGUCUUUAUCUCCAUCUUGUACUCUUCGUUCUUUUUCCAUUAUAGUAAAAUUAUCUUUGCCCGUAGUUUUUUAUCCUCUUUGGAGGGGUUUUUUCACGUUAAAUUUGUAUGUUCAAUUUCUCAAUUUAUUCCACUAUUUUUCUUGUUCGUUGCUUAAUCGGGUCGAAAUCCUAACAAAUAUAAUCUAAUUUUUUUAUAUAAUCAUAUUCUUCUACCAACCAUUCACCUAAGGUGUAUCAUUUUCCAAUCUCAUAUAUAAGAAAUUAUUUUUAGUAAUGAAACAUAUAUAGGACUUUUAAUUAACAUGGCUGGCUAACUUGAAACUAUUGUUAUUAGAAGUCAAAAAUUUUCUUAAACUUUCAACAGCUGCAAUUUGUUGAGAAAAACUAUAGCAAUCCAAUCCAACUCAAUUGGAGACCAUCGAGCAUGAUUGAUCUCAGCCGCUGAUCCAUACCACAUCUCUGGUUCCAUCACUGCAACUCCAUUUUCUGCUCGAUAAUUGGAGCCCACCACCUCCCAUAUUAGAGCCCUCGAAUCAUCUCCAGCCGAACAAAGCUGUUUUCCCAUCAAUGGUGCCCAUGAAAUAGCGUUAACACUCCCUUUAUGCCUGCAUAAUUCCAUCAAUGGUGUUGUCGGAAAUCGGAUGUCAACUAUCACAAUUUUAUUGCUAUCCAUCCCUACUGUAGCCAUGAACCUAGGGUCUGCCUUGUUCCAUUCUACCCUCAGCAAUGGAGUUUCGGGGAUCGGGUUUUCGUAAAUUAUUGUCGAUCGUUCUUUGUCUCGCAAGUCGAAAACUCUUACAGACCCGUCUCCAGACACGGAUGCAAACACAUUGAACCCGCCCCACGAAAUGUCGAACACUUCCUUGUCGUGCGCAACUAAUUGAGUGUCUACAGCCUCCCUCUCAAUGUCCCAAAUGGUACAAGUAGUGUCGACACUGGAGGUGGCCACACGGCGAGUGUCGAAAUCAGCCCAAUCGAAAGAAGUUAUGGCGGAAUUGAAUUCGCUGCUCUUGUUGCCAUUAAGCAAGGACUUAAGCUCAAUGUGAUCGUCGUGGAUUUCCCAAAGACGAAGGUAGUCGCCGGACGUGGCAAUCAUAUCGGGAUUAGAGGUAUCAUCGGACGGAAAGAACAUUAGGUUGGUGGGAGCGUAAGGGUGAUCGAAAACUAACCGAUUGUCAGUCGUGAAAUCGGAUGUAUAGAGAUUGAACUGAACCAGUUCCACCUUGUUGCUGUAGUCUUCGAGGAAACUGCCAAUGGCAAGGCGAGAUCUUUUGUCGUUGCGGACGGACCAUGCCACGGAGUAAAUUGGCCAUUGACCUAUGUAUGUGUAGACGCCUGUUUUCCUCUCUGUGGGAAUUUGCAUGCUUUACUUACUGUAUAAUCAAAAUAAUUUAUUAUAAAAAGUUAUUUUUUAAAUCUGUAUGCGUCCCACUAAUAAAUAAAUAAAAAGUCUCCGUCGAAUACUUAAACAAAUAUUACUUAUAAAUAAAACAAGGAAUAAUGAAUUAUUUUACCAUUCAAUUUUGCCAAAAAAAAUUAUUUUAGUUUUCUUUAAUUCUACAUUUUUUAUAAAAGUUUACGUUGUAUGUCAAAUCAUUCUAAUAUUUAUAAAAAAAAUAAUAUCUAUUAACCUUAAUUACGUAGUAUUCAUGUAUACGCCACUUUAAUAAUUAAUUAAAUUUUUUAAUUUCAAAAAAUAUAAAAAUUUUGAAAAUUUUACAAAAUAUAUAAAAAAUUAUUAGAAAGCAUAAAUAUAAAAAUUUGUUUAAUAAAAUUAUAUUAAUAAUUUAUAAUUUUUAGAAUCUUUAAAAAUUUAUAAUUCCUUACAUUACAUGUGCACGGCGAUAACUGUAAAAUUAACAAAUAAUAACUUAUUUAUUCAUUUUAAAGUGUUUUGAUAAAAAAAUGUUAACUUAAAAGUUAAAAGAAAUAAAAAUUUAAACUAAUAGCACAAAUAAUAUUUUUUACAAAGUUGGAAGGUUAAAUAGAACAUUGUGCCAAUAAUAAAAUAAUAAAAAGUUGGUAGUAUCUUCUUUCUCUUUUUUAUAUAUAUAUAUACCUUAAUGUUGAUCAUAGAGAAAAAAAAAUUUUGAGUUAUAUAAAUUAAUGAUUUCAAAAUAAUCUUUUUUUUAGAAUCCGUUUGAGUUAAGCACGCUAAGACUAACUAGAAAACUAUAUAUAAUAAUUAUUUCAGUAAGUGAAAUUGCACAAACUAAAAGCAUAGCUAAAACUCAAUCAGAUUUACGAAUGAGAAUAUGUUAUAUAUAAGAUAUUUUGUGAUAAAAGUGUUUUUUUCAAAUCGAACAGUAAUUUUACCAAUAUUUUAACAAAUAAUAACUAAUUUAUUUAAACAGUAUCUGAAGGAAUAGGAGUCAAGACCCCUCCUGAGCCUCUGAAUCCAUCCCUGUAUAUAUCACAUAUUUUUCCCCAAUAUAUACACAUAUAUCUUCUAUAUAUAGUAAAAGUUCUGUGGAUUCUUUUAACUGUAAUAGUAGUUGGGGAUUUUUCUAGUAGUAAAAGAACUUCAAGAAAAUAAUAUAAUAUUAUAAAAGUGCUUUCUUAAAAAGUUUAAGGUUUUCAGAAAUUUUAUAAAACUGAUGUUCUACUUGUUCUUCACAAAUGUUUGCACACCUAUCCCGCUUUUCUUUUGACUGUAAUAAUAGGUUGGGUAUUUUCUAGUAGUAAAAGAACUUCAAGAAAAUAAUAUAAUACUACAAAAGUGCUUUCUUAAAAAGUUUAAGGUUUACAGAAAUUAUAUAAAACUGAUGUUCUACUUGUUCUUCACAAAUGUUUGCACACCUAUCCAGCUUUCAGCAUAAAGAUAUGCUAAAAGGAUACAAUUAAGCAAAUUAGAUUAAAUAGGAUGAGUAUUAAAAGAUAUAGAAAAAAGAAAAGAAAUCUUUGCUUAUAUUCUUUCCUUAUUAAGAGAGAAAUAUAGACUUACGUUGAUGUAAAAGGGAGAUGUUCUAGCUUGAUAUAAUAUCUUCCUCUCCUAUGGUGUGAAAAUAUGUAAUGAGCAUUCACGCAACACACGUAUAUAUGUCUGAUGAUGAAGAUAAAUAUAUAUAAUAGAACAAAGGAAAGAAAAUGUGGGUUAAAAGUUAGAAACUUGGAGAGAGGGUGUUUAGCAGUGGGUUAAUAGUUUAAAGGGAGAGAGGGCAGCAGCUGCCAUGGCUAUAGCUUAGAAGAAAUGGGAGCGAAAUUCAAAUGAAAGAAAGGAAGGUAAAGCUAAUAGUCAAUCUUCCACGAGCCAACCCGUUGGAAAGUGGUGGGUUUUUGGUUUUCAGUCAUGACUAAGAGGGUUGCACGUGAUGCAUUUAUUAUAUCCGCCAUUCCAAGGGAUCCAAUUUCCUUUUCAUGUUUAUUUUAUGUAUAUAUGGAUGAAGAGACUACUUAGCAUUGAUGGGUUGGCUUAAAUUCCUAAUUAUUCUCGCACUUGGGUGGUUUAAUUAUGAAAAUCAAACUAGGUAGGUAAAUGAGAUGAAUUGACACUAUGGUUUCCAACUCUAUGAGUUAGCUAGGUUCAACGAGUGGUUAGGUUAAGCAGCACAUAUUUUAUUGAUGGACUGGGCUGUACUCUUCCGUUCCCACUUGUUGGGACUCCAUCUCCUAUUUAAUUGGGAAAGGGAGCUUCUUCCGUACGUUCCACAAAAAAAAAGUGUUAUGAUCUUGGUCAUUUCCCAUUAAGGUGGACUGGAAGAAUCUAAAGGGUUAGAAGGAGUCUCGGUUUCUCUGAAAUAGAAUCUAUUUUCUUAUUAUAGUUUUUUAAAAUUUUUUAAAUUUUAAAUUAGUAAAAAUAAAAUUGUACUUUGGCCCUUUUAAAAAUGAUAAAAUUUUGAUUUAAUCUUUUAAAAAUUACAGUUUUAUUAUAGUAAAAAAUACAAUUUAAUUUUCACCCCUUAAAAAAAUUUUCUGACUUCGCCUCUGAAGGUCGACCUGACCCUUUUUACCUUAGUAAAUAUAUAGUUAGUCAAACCAUGCAGUUCGCAUGUAUGAGUUCACACUUGAUAGGUUCGUGUCAUCAUGCAAGCGAACUCAUACUCAAGGAUACGUGUUGGCAUGCAUGAAGGUUUACCUAAUAUGUUAUAUCUAGGGAUUGGGCCUUAUAAAUAGAGAUAUUGGUCUCCAUGAAGAGAAGACUCACGAAAACACUCAACAAUUAGUAAGAAGUGUUAUUAUAUCAAUUUGUUAUAAGUUAUUUUAUAUGUAAGGAUCAAUAGAGAUAUUGUUAUAUAAAUAGAUAUAUUAGUAUAUAUUAUAGAUUUUAGUAUCUAAUAAAAUGUUGCUAUAUAAAUAGAUUUGAUAAAACGUGAUAAAAAAAUUAUAAAAAUCAUUAAAAUUCUAAAAUUAUUUUUUUUGGCAUUAUAAUUUUUUAAAUUUUUAAUUAAUAAUUUUUUUAAGAAUUUUUACAAAGUAUUUGGUUACAAAGUUGUGUUUCCAAUAGGAAUUUUAGUAUUUGGUUACAAAAUUGGGUUUCCGAUAGGAAUUUUAGUAAUAGUUAUAGAUUUUGAUAGUUGUUAUAAAGAGAAUGGAUUGUAUGAAAUUGUAAUUCCACGUCAUCACUAUCCCUUUCCAAUAGGAGAAUCAGAUUUUUCCUCCUAACUUUUAGCAUUUUCAAUUGGAUAUGAAUUUUUUUCAGAAGGAAAAUUUUAAUUUGUCAUUCUCCUAUUGGAAAGGGAUAGGGAUGACAUGGAAUCACAGUUUCAUACAAUCAUUUUUCUUGUUAUAAAAAUAUUAUUAUAUAAAUAAUAGAUUUUGUAACCGAUGGUGUGGCAUGUUGACCCUGGGCGUUGAUUAAUAGGCUCAAAAAACUCGAUGACUUUAUGUCACACCCCCAUACCCGAGACCGUCGCCGGAGUCGAGCACGAGGUGUUAACGGACUUAAUUCAUUAAUUAAACAGCUCAAACAAUUUAUUUUAGAAUUUCCAGACAAGCUGGCUAACUACGUCACAGUCGCUAAAAAAUCCAUAUCUUGAGUUACGAAACUCGAAAUCCAAUUCCGUAAAUUUUCCCUAAAACUAGACUCAUAUAUCUACUUAUAAUUUUUUUUCUGUAAUUUUUGGUCAGGCAAAUUAGUAUAGUUUAUUAGUUAAAGUUUCCCCUGUUUCAGGGUCCGGCUACUUUGACCCAUGUGUAUUACGAAUAAGAUAUCUCCCUUUAUAGAGUUUCAAUGACUAUUCUGUUUGUUUUUCAUAAAACUAGACUCAAUAAGUAUUUCAUAAAUGUAAGGUAAAACUCCUAAUUGUUUUUGUAAAAUUUAUGGUGAAUUUUUUAAGUUAGAAUAGGGGAUUCAGAGAUUGCUCUGACCCUGUUUCACAAAAACUUAAAUAUCACAUAAAAUAUAACUCAUUUACCUGUUUCAUUUCUUCCAUAUGAAAAUAGACUCAUCAAGAUUCGAUUUCAUAACUUAUUCAUCAUUUAAUUCCAUUUCUACUAUUUUUAGUUAUUUUUCAAAAUCAUGUUACUGCUGCUGUCUGAUUCUGUUUUGUGGCCAAUUUUACCUUUCCAAGGAUUUUCAUGGUUUAGUUAAGACAUAAAGCAUACAUGUUAUCAUAUAAAACUUGAUUAGCCAUUCCAAUAGCUAAUCAUUCUCAAACAUUUCCAUUUCAUCCAUGGGCCAUAUCGUAAGAUUAUACACACAAAAUGAUUGGAAUGCUAUACAUGCCAUAUUUCCAAAAAUUUCAAGUCAUUAUACCGCGAUUGUCCAGUGAUAGUGUGAGCGUGCCACCAACCGUCCCGAUCUCCAAAUUGACUUGUCAAAACUACAAAGAAUGAAAAGGAGGGAGUAAGCAUAGAUGCUUUAGUAAGUCCACAUGCAAAUAACAAAUAACUUAACAAAGCAAUUAUACCAACCAACAUUAGCAUAAUAUCACCAAAACAUGUAUCACAUUUCUAUUCAUCAUUCAUCAUCUUACCAUAUUAUUGUUGUCGUAUCAAGUCUCAACCCGAGGGUUAACUACAUACCUAUCCAAAGUGCCCAUUCCACAACACUUACCAAUACGUCACUUGCAUCUUGAGUAUUCUUCCAUUUCACUAGGAUUUUACCCGUUGAACACAUCGGAAUAUAACUCAGAUACAUGGAAAGUUUGCACAUAAGUGCCAUAUAUGUAGCCAAGCUACCAUGUAACCCGCCCAUAAGCGAACUCGGACUCAAUUCAACGAGCUCGGGCGUUCGCAUCCAUAAGUGAACUCGGACUCAACUCAACGAGCUCGGAUGCCUAGUUACAUCUCACGAACUCGGACUCAACUCAACGAGCUCGGACAUUCGCAUCCAUAAGUGAACUUGGACUCAACUCAACGAGUUCGGAUGCCCAAAUAUCCUAAUCUAUUCCUAAGGUUCAACGGGACUUUCCUCGUUCAUACUCCUUUACCAUUCUCCUUGAAAUACCAAUGACGAUACUUCGGUAGUCUUUCACAUUUUUCACAUAAUUCAUAAAAUUUUUGCAUGUUGUCCAAUAAUGACCACAAAGCAUAGAAUUGCAUGAUAACAAUCAUAAUAUCGUAUAAAUAGCAUUAAAUGAUUUACAAUAACAGUUAUAUUACAAUAUUUACAUAUGAACUUACCUUGAUUCAAAAUGAGAAUAGUAGAGCCUAUUACUCGUAAACUUUAUUUUUCUCCCGAUCUCGACUCGAAUCUCUUUUCUCUUGAUCUAUAAUACCAAAUUAAUUUAUUUAAUACACACAUUCAUCAAAACAGCCCCUAGUACGAACUUUGGAAAAAUUAACAUUUUGCCCUUAAACUUUUACAUAUUUACACUUUUUCCCCAAGGCUCGUAAAUGAAACCUCAUCCUAUUUUCUUAUGUUUUAUAACAUGCUGAUCAUUUUUCCCUUCUAUAGCAACAUCAAAUUCACACUCUAACAUUUACUUAAGAAUAUUAGGUAUUUUUACCGAUUAUGUCAUUUUACUCGUUUUUACGAAAAAUCACUUAGCAAAAGUUGUUUAACACAAUCUCAAACUUCAUAUUCUACCAUAAAACAUCAAAAUUCAUACAUAUCAUCCAUGGGUAAAAUUUUAAAUAUAAACCCUAGCUCAAAAUAUUGGUAGAAAUAGGUAAACCGAGCUACGAGGAUUUCAAAAAUGUAAAGAACAUUAAAAACGGGCAUAGAAAUCACUUACAAUCAAGGAUUAAAAGUGUUGAAACCCUAGCUAUGGUGGAGAACAAAAUUCAACAGAAACUUAUGGAAAAGAUGAUCAUUUUUGUGUUAUUUUUCCCAUUUUAUUUCAUUUAAUAUCCAAAUGACCAAAAUGCCCUUCCUUACUAAACUUUCAAAAAUUCCAUCCAUGUCCAAUUUUUGUCCAUAAACUUAGAAAUUGGUCAAAUUGCUAUUUAAUACCUCCUAAUUAAUAUUUCAAAGCAAUUUCAUAGUAGAAACUUCUAGAAUACAAGUUUUGCAACUUAUUCAAUUUAGUCCCUAACUUCAAAUUAAGCAUUUUAUGCAUAAAAUUUCUUCACAAAAUUUUCAUACAAUCAUGAAAUCAUAUCAUAGACCUCAAAAUAAUCAUAAAAUAAUUAUUUCUAUCUCGGAUUUUACGCUCCCGAAACCACUAUUCCGAUUAGGCCUUAAUUCGGGUUAUCACAACUCUCCCCCCCUUUAAGGAUUUUCGUCCCUGAAAAUCUUACUGGUAAACAAGUGUGGGUAUUGAUUCCUCAUAGUUUCCUCGGGCUCCCAUGUAGCCUCUUCUACCCCAUAUUUUUGCCACAAUACCUUCACGAGAGCAAUACUUUUAUUUCUCAGUUGCUUGACCUCUCGAGCUAAAAUUUUAAUCAGUCCUUCAUUGUAACUCAUAUCCGGUUGUAACUCGAUUUCUGUCGGUGAAAUCACAUGUGAAGGAUCCGAACGAUACUGAUCUAACAUAGAUACAUGGAAUACAUCAUGGAUCUUCUCUAAUUCUAGCGGUAAUGCUAACUGAUACGCUACCGGACCAAUUCUUUCAAUUACCUCAUACGGUCCGAUGAAACGUGGACUCAACUUGCCUUUCCGACCGAAUUUAAAAACUUUCUUCCAUGGAGACACUUUUAAAAACACUUUAUCACCAACUUGAGAUCUCUUUUCGCUUCAAAUCUAUGUAAAAUUUUUGCCUAUCCGAAGCAGCUUGUAAACAGCCUCGAAUCACUUUCACUUUUUCUUCAGUUUCUUUGAUUAAAUCAACUCCGUAAAUUUGGUUUUCUUUGAGUUCGGUCCAAUACAGCGGUGUCCGGCACUUGCGACCAUACAACGCUUCAUAAGGUGCCAUUUUCAAACUCUUCUGAUAACUGUUAUUGUAAGUAAAUUCCACCAACGGUAAGUACCUUUCCCAACUUCCUUGGAACUCCAACACGCAACAUCUGAGCAUGUCUUCAAGAAUCUGAAUUAUUCUUUUUGAUUGUCCAUCAGUCUGUGGAUGGAAGGCAGUGCUAAAAUUUAACUUCGUACCUAAUGCUUAUUGUAGCUUUUUCCAAAAUCGCGAAGUAAACCUUGGAUCUCUAUCCGAAAUAAUCGACAAGGGUACUCCGUAAAGUCUAACAAUCUCACUAAUAUAUAAUUCAGCUAACUUAUCAAGAGAAUAAUCAGUGUGUACCGAAAUAAAAUGGGCUGAUUUAGUCAAUCUGUCGACUAUCACCCAGACGACAUCUUUCUUCUUCGGAGUUAACGGCAAUCCUGAUACAAAAUCCAUAGUAAUUUAAUCCCAUUUCCAUUGGGGAAUCAUGAUAGGCUGAAGUAGACCCGAAGGCACCUGAUGUUCAGCUUUUACUUGCUGACAAACCAAGCAUCGCGAUACAAACUUGGAAAUAUCUCUUUUCAUUCCGUUCCACCAAUACAUUUUCUUCAAGUCAUUGUACAUCUUUGUACUACCCGGAUGCAUAGAUAAACAACCAUUGUGUGCUUCAUGCAAGAUCCUCCGAAUCAACUCAUUAUUUUUCAGUACACAAAUCCGAUCUUUAAACAUCAGACAACCAUCAGAGCUGAUUCUGAAGUCUGAUCCUGUAUCUGCCUCACAUUGUUUUCUUUUAGCUUGUAAUUCUUUAUCACUCCUCUGAGCUUCAUAAAUAUUUUGUAAAAACAUCGGUCUUGCCUUCAACUCUGCUAGAAUCGAACCAUCAUUAGAUACCGUCAACCGAGUAUUCAUAGCUCUCAAAACAAAUAACAACUUUCUACUCAAAGCAUCAGCAACCACAUUCGCUUUCCCCGGAUGAUAGUCAAUCACAAGCUCGUAAUCUUUCAAUAAUUCUAACCAUCUCUGCUGGCUCAAAUUCAAGUCUUUUUGUGUCAUCAAUUACUUGAGACUUUUAUGAUCUGUAUACACUCGGUAUUUUUCUCCGUACAGAUAAUGUCGCCAAAUCUUCAAAGCAAAUACUACAGUAGCUAGCUCCAAAUCAUGAGUUGGAUAGUUCUUUUCGUAAGAUUUUAAUUGCCUCGAAGCAUAAGCCACAACCCUUCCCUCUUGCAUAAGUACACAUCCUAAGCCAUUUAGAGAGGCAUCACUAUACACUACAAAUUCUUUACCUGGCUCGGGUUGUACCAACAUCGGUGUUUCAGUCAGUAACUUCUUUAAUUUCUCAAAACACUGUUGGCAUUCUUCUGUCCACUCGAAUUUAACAUCCUUUCAGAGUAAUCUGGUCAUAGAAGUAGCAAUCAUAGAGAAUCCAUUUACAAAUCAUCAGUAAUAACCAGCCAAACCCAAGAAACUUCUGACCUCAGUCACGUUCUCCGGCGGCUUCCACUCAAUAAUAGUUGAAAUCUUACUGGGAUCAACCCAUAUACCAUCACCUGAAACAAUAUGACCUAAGAAUCCAACUUCUCGAAGCGAAAACUCACUUUUACUGAACUUGGCAUACAACUGCUUAUCUCUCAGAAUUUGCAAGACUAUCCUCAAGUGCUAAGCAUGUUCUGUCUCGUUCUUCGAAUAAAUCAAUAUAUCGUCAAUAAAUACCACAACAAACUUGUCCAAAUAUGGCCAAAAUAUUCGAUUCAUCAAAUCCAUAAACACGGCAGAAGCAUUUGUCAACCCGAAUGGCAUAACUAAAAUUCAUAAUGGUCGUACCUUGUUCUAAAAGCAGUUUUAGGCACAUCUGAUUCUUUCACCCGCAACUAGUAGUACCCGGACCUCAAAUCGAUCUUUGAAAACCAUGUCGCUCCUUUCAACUGAUCGAACAAGUCGUCAAUUCUUGGCAACGGAUACUUGUUCUUGACUGUCACCUUAUUCAACUGCCGAUAGUCCGCACAUAAACUCAUAGAACCAUCCUUCUUUUUCAAAAUAAUAUGGGAGCACCCCGAGGCGAGAAACUCGGUCUCACAAAGCCUUUAUCUGUCAAUUCUUGCAACUGUGUCUUUAAUUCUUUCAACUAUGUUAGUGCCAUUCUAUACGGAGAAAUUGAGAUCGGAGUCAUUCCUAGUAUCAUCUCAAUACCAAAUUCUACUUCUCUGACAGGAGGCAAACCCGACAACUCUUCUGGAAAUACAUCCGCAAAGUCACACACAAUCGGUACUGAUUCAACUUUCUUCUCAGAUUCUUUUGUAUUCAAUACAUAUGCCAAAUAAUCUUCAUAACCUUUUCUCAAAUAUCUUUGAGCCGACAUCAAAGUAAUCAUACUAAACAAUGCUUCUGAUUCGUCUGAUUCAACCCGUAGAAUUUCACCAUUUUCACAUUUUAAUUCAAUAACCUUUUGUUUGCAAUUCAUAUAGCAUCAUGCAAUGUCAACCAAUCCAAACCCAAAAUAACAUCAAAUUCAUCAAACGGAAACAACAUCAAGUUGGCUGGAAAAUAAUGACCCCUAAUCAUCAAAGGACAUUUCUUACAUACUUUAUCAACUAUGACACAUUUGCCUAAUGGGUUCGAUACUUUAACCACAAAUUCCGUAGACUCAAUAGGUAUGUUCAUAUUAGAUACCAAUUUCAUGCACACAUACGAAUGAGUAGAACCAAGGUCGAUCAAAGCAAUAACAUUAAUAUCAUAAAGAGAGAAAGUACCGGUAAUCACGUCGGGAGACGAAACAUCUUCACGUGCCCUUAUGGCAUAAGCUCUAGCCGAAGCUCUAGCUUCAGAUUUCGACGCUGAUUCUCUGACUACAUUCUUGCUGCUUGCCUCGUUCCCAGCAUUUCUCGAAGAUCUUUCUCUUAAAACAGUACCACUUGGCUUUGUACUCUGAAAUUUUUCUUUCUCGAUCCUCUCUGGACAAUCUCUAAUAAAAUGAUCCGGAGACCCACACCGGUAACAUUCAUUAGUUCUACAAGGACCAAAGUGACUUCUACCACAUCGUUGGCACUCAGGUCUAACAAUUCUCGAAUUUCCCACACUAGCCACCGAAGUAGUUCGAGAUUUGGAACCCACAUUUUCUUCUUAUGAUCCCCAUAUGAAUGUCCCGCUGAUGUCUGAGAAUGAGAAUACAUAUCUCUGGAGUUUCUAGACUGCGAUGGGAGUGUACUGCUCAUCGGUAUUUUCUUCCAAUUUUUUGUCUCAGCCUCUAUCUUUUUCUUCUCUUUAAUUAGUUCUUCAUCCUUACAAGCCCGAUCAACAAGUACCACAAAUUCUUUUAACUCAAGAAUACCCACAAAUACCUAGAUGUCUUCAUUAAGUCCAUCUUAAAAUCGUUUGCACAUUUUAACCUCUGAAGGGAUAUAUUCUCGAGCAUACUUGCUCAAUUGAACGAACUCUCUUUCAUACUCGGUAAUUGUCAUGUUUCCUUGCUUCAACUCGAGAAACUCUUUACGCUUCUGGUCUACAAAUCUUUCGCUGAUAUAUUUCUUCCGAAAUUCUUCUUGAAAGAAUUCCCAAGUCACAUUCUCUUUUGGCACCACUGAAAUUAAUGUCUUCCACCAAUGAUAAGCCGAAUCCCUCAGCAAUGAUAUAGCACAUUUCAAGCACUCUUCAGGUGUACAAGAUAACUCAUCAAAUACCCGAAUAGAAUUUUUGAGCCAAAAUUCUGCUUUUUCAGCGUCAUUAUCAACAUUUGCCCUGAAUUCUUUGGCCCCUUGCUUGCGAAUUCGGUCAACCGGAUAUCUAUGGAAUUUCAUCAGAUCCAUACCUAAAGGAAUCUGGGGUACAGGUUGAGAAAUCGGGGGUGGUGGGGGAGGUUGUUGAGCAAUCGGGUUCGUACGAACGAACUCUGUAUACCAAGCAUUCAUCAUUUGGAGAAAGGCUUCCCGAGCCCUUUCUCCUCCUCCUUGGCUAACAGUAGGAGGUUGAUUUUCAAUCGGCACCGCCCGUUCAGCAGGAGCUGGCGCAUUGCACUCUACAUCAUCAGCCACAGUUGGAUCGGGAUCCAUUUACUAUAAAAAAUCAUUUAAAAAGGUCAGGAGUCGUCACACUAUCAUAAUAUAUAAAUAUGGCAUGUAUAGCAAAAUCCGUACUUACACCAUGUUAGCCCGAGAACUGACUAAACCUGCUCUGAUACCACCAAAUGUCACACCCGCAUACCCGAGACCGUCGUCGGAGUCGAGCACGAGGUGUUCAGGGACUUAAUUCAUUAAUUAAACAACUCAAACAAUUUAUUUUAGAAUUUCCAAACAAGCUGGCUAACUGCGUCAUAGUCGCUAAAAAAUCCAUAUCUCGAGUUAAAAAACUAAAAAUCCAAUUCCAUAAAUUUUCCCUAAAACUAGACUCAUAUAUAUAAUUACUACUUUUUUUUAUAAUUUUUGGUUAGGCAAAUUAGUACAGUUUAUUAGUUAAAGUUUCCCUUGUUUCAAGGUUCGUCUACUCUGACCCAUGUGUAUUACGAAUAAGAUAUCUCCCUAUAUAAAUCUUCAAGGACUAUUCCGUUUGUUUCUCAUAAAACUAGACUCAAUAAGGAUUUCAUACAUGUAAGGUAAAACUCCUAAUUGUUUUUUUUAAAAUUUAUGGUGAAUUUUAAAAGUCAAAACAGGGGAUUCAGAGAUUGCUCUGACCUUGUUUCAUAUAAACUUAAAUCUCACAUAAAAUAUAACUCAUUUACCUGUUUUAUUUCUUCUAUAUGAAAAUAGACUCAUCAAGAAUCGAUUCCAUAAAUUAUUCAUCAUUUAAUUCCAUUUCUACUAUUUUUAGUGAUUUUUCAAAAUCACGUCACUACUGCUGUCUAAUUCUGUUUUGUGGCCAAUUUUACGUUUCCAAGGAUAUUCAUGGUUUAGUUAAGACAUAAAGCAUACAUGUUAUCAUAUAUAAACUUGAUUAGCCAUUCCAAUAGCUAAUCAUUCUCAAACAUUUCCAUUCCAUCCAUGGGCCAUAUCGUAAGAUUAUACACACAAAAUGACUGGAAUGCUAUACAUGUCAUAUUUCCAAAAAUUUCAAGUCAUUAUACCGUGAUUGUCCAGUGAUAGUGUGAGCGUGCCUCCAACCAUCAGAAUAUAACUCAGAUACAUGGAAAGUUUGCACAUAAGUGCCACAUAUGUAGCCAAGCUACCAUGUAACCCGCCCAUAAGCGAACUCGGACUCAAUUCAACAAGCUCGGGCAUUUGCAUCUAUAAGUGAACUCGGACUCAACUCAACGAGCUCGGACAACUCAGACUCAAAUCAACGAGUUCGAAUGCCCAAAUAUCCUAAUCCAUUCCUAAGGUUCAACGGGACUUUUCUCAUUCGUACUGCUUUACCAUUCUCCUUGGAAUACCAAUGACGAUACUUCGGUAGUCUUUCACAUUUUUCACAUAAUUCAUAAAAUUUUUGCAUGUUGUCCAACAAUGACCACAAAGCAUAGAAUUGCAUGAUAACAAUCAUAAUAUCAUAUAAAUAUCAUUAAAUGAUUUAAAAUAACAGUUAUAUUACAAUAUUUACAUAUGAACUUACCUCGAUACAAAAUGAGAAUAGUCGAGCCUAUUCCUCGUAAACUUUAUUUUUCCCCCGAUCUUGACUCGAAUCUCUUUUCUCUUGAUCUAUAAUACCAAAUUAAUUUAUUUAAUACACACAUGCAUCAAAACGGACCCUACUACGAACUUUGACAAAAUUACCAUUUUACCCCUAAACUUUUACAUAUUUACACUUUUGCCCCAAGGCUCGUAAAUUAAAGCUCAUCCUAUUUUCUUAUGUUUUAUGACAUGCUAAUCAUUUUUCCCUUCUAUAGCAACAUCAAAUUCACACUCUAACAUUUACUUAAGAAUAUUAGGUAUUUGUACCAAUUAUGUUAUUUUACUCGUUUUUACGAAAAAAUCACUUAGCAAAAGUUGUUUAACACAAUCUCAAACUUCAUAUUCUGCCAUAAAACAUCAAAAUUCAUACAUAUCAUCCAUGGGUAAAAUUUUAAAUAUAAACCCUAGCUCAAAAUAUUGGUAGAAAUAGGUAAACCGAGCUACGCAGAUUUCAAAAAUGUAAAGAACAUUAAAAACGGGCAUAGAAAUCACUUACAAUCAAGGCUUAAAAGUGUUGAAACCCUAGCUAUGGUGGAGAGAAAAAUUUAGCAGCAACUUAUGGAGAAGAUGAUAAUUUUUGUGUUAUUUUUCCCAUUUUAUUUCAUUUAAUAUCCAAAUGACCAAAAUGCCCUUCCUUACUAAACUUUCAAAAAUUUCAUCCAUGUCCAAUUUUUGUCCAUAAACUUAGAAAUUGGUCAAAUUUGUAUUUAAGACCUCCUAAUUAAUAUUUCAAAGCAAUUUCAUAGUAGAAACUUCUAGAAUGCAAGUUUUGCAACUUAUUCAAUUUAGUCCCUAACUUCAAAUUAAGCACUUUAUGCAUAAAAUUUGUUCACGAAAUUUUCACACAAUCAUGAAAUCAUAUCAUAGACCUCAAAAUAAUCAUAAAAUAAUUAUUUCUAUCUAGGAUUUUGUGGUCUCGAAACCACUAUUCCGAUUAGGCCCUAAUUCGGGUUAUCACACUUUAUAACCGUUACAAGCCUUAGGAAGUUUCUAGAACCCACUUUGGAAACAACCAAUAGAUAUCAAGCACCUAGCACAACCAAACAACACAGUGCUAAGUGAUUAUUAGCAACACUUCCUUAGGAUGUGUUGUAACGGCCCAAUUUUAAUGAUACUGAAAAUGGUGGUUUCGAAGCCAUGUUUACCGAUGAUUGAGUCUAUAAGUUUUAAUACUUAAUAAUUGCUAGUCUAUUAUAUUGUUAUAAGAAAUCUUGGUGGUACAAGAAUAGCAGAAAAUGUUGUUCAAUUGAAAGCUGUUAACGUCUAGGAUCCAUCUCACUUAAAGUAUAGGUUUUUUUUCAAGAAAAAGUUAUUGCUAUAAAUAUCACAAACCGACUAGGUUUUCAAUUUUUAAUUUUCCACUGUGAUAAAAAACUAUUUUUUAAAUCGGAUUUUUUAAACAAAUGUUUCCUACUCAUCCCUAAUGACAACCAUGUUUCUCACCACCUUAUUUCUCAUUCUCUCCCCUCCAUUAUUUCUCCAAAAUUUUGGAAGAGACAAUUAAAUAUUCGUAACUAUAAAAGGCUAGCAAAAAUAAUGCACUAUGAAGCAAAAAAGUUCUUUUUAGGCUCAAAAGAAAUUUCAACAUUGAUCACACUUCAAAAUAGAUCACUUUUUUUACUCACAAUGCUUUUAAUAGAUUCAAUGCUUUAAAUCUCUCUAAAAGCUUUUAUCCCUCACCUUGUUUUUAUUCACUUAAAAUUUUUUAUUUCAACACUUUUAAGCUAGAUUCUAUACUCACUAAAUUAAACAGUCUUUUCACUUUUACCACUCAAGUGAAUAAUACGAUACCACUAUUAUGUAUCUACCUAACCCUUAAUGUCUAUGGUCUGAUGUUCAAUUCAAAGUGCAAUUAAACAAAAUAAGAUAGAGAAAGGAUUUAGUAUCAUACUCAGUUUUGGGCUCAAAGUCUCAAAGAUAGAGGUUCAUCAAGAACGAAAAAUAAGACUCUAAAUAUUAGGAACUAGGAAUGUUAUAGCAUACCAAAGGUAGUCAUUUCAGCUCUAGGCUAAACAAACAAUGCCUUAGGUCAUCCUUAGACAUCUCAACAAAUAUAAAUUCAAAACAUGCUUCUAUUUACAAUUCCAUAAAUGACAUAAAAUUCCAAACAUGUGUAUACAUCCAUCUACACAAUUAUUUAUUACAUGACAUAAAAUCUAGUAUUUCAACAUAUAAUGACAUAAAAUCUAGUAUUUCAACAUAUAAUAACCACUUUUACUCUAUCGCACAAUGUAACUAAGUGAACUAACUAAUCUAGACUAAAAAAGAAUAGAAUUUAACUAUCUUUAUGCAAAAUUUACGAGUCAAAAAAGUCAAUUAAAAUAUAUCAUAUCAAAUCAACUAAUUAUUCACAUCCACCAUGCUUAAGCACCAUUCACAAACAAAAAUAAAACAAAGGUUUUUUUUGAAAAUUUCCUAAAACAUAAAAUUAACAUACAUAAAACACAAAAUAAAGUAAAGCAAAUUCUAUGUAGCCUCCAAUUAAAUCACACAUUGUCCUCAAUGUGUUUCCAAUAAUAAUUAAGAGGUAUAAGGACUUCACUAAUUAUCAUUAGGCAAUGUGAGGUAAAGUCAAAGUUGCCCACCUCCUCGUUGAAGCUCAAAAAUGUUGUGUAAUCCUCAAACAGGUAACCUACAGAAAAAAAAUCAAAAGCAAAAGUAUGCAAAUAAUAAAAUAAAACAAAAACAAACCAAAAAAUUCAAGUUCAAAGGAUAGUGGUAUCACCUACUUCAAACUUCAACCAUAUCCUAACAUAACACUUUAGCAUCAUCAUCCUCUUUAACAACAUGAUCCUAGUCUCAACUUUGUAAACAACGCAAUCCUAAUAUCAAAUUUCUUGGAAAGUAUCAACAGUUCCCCCAAGAUAUGGCUUUACUCUUUGCCUGUUUACUAAAAAUAGUUGUCCAUCUUUUGUUCCAAGCUCAAUAGCCCCAUUGGCUAGCACACAGUUAAUUGUGUAUAGACUGGACCAUCGCAAUUGAAGUUUUCCUGGUAACAAUUUAAGUCAAGAAUUAAAUAGUAACAUUUGUCGUCCCGGGACAAAGCUCUUCUUAAUUAUGGAAUCAUGGCACAAUUUGCUUUUAUCUUUGUACAACUCGGCAUUCUCAUAUGCCAAAAAUCUAAACUCCUCCAAUUCAUCUAGUUGAAACAACCUAGUGUUUUUAGCUAAAUUAGGACCAAGAUUCAAUUUCUUAAUUGCCAAGUAUGUUUACUUUUCUAAUUCUAUUGGCAAAGGAUAGUUUUUACUGUAAACAGUAUGAUAUGGAGACAUCCCCAAUGGAGUUUUAUAAGUUGUCUUAUAAGCUCACAAUGUAACGCCCCUAACCCGUAUCUGUUGCUAGAAUAGGAUUAUGAGGUAGUACCGAUCAAUAUACAUCAUAUAAUAUACAUAACUCAUACAUUUAUGCAUUCAUACUCAAAUACCAUUCAACGCAAUCACAUUGUCCCUUAUUAGGGCCUAUGAGGCCUUAAACAUGCUUUAGAAUUAGUUCGGGACUAAACUGAUAACAUACGAAAAUUUUUGGAAACUUAGAAAUUUUUCAACCAUACAGAGGUCACACGCCUGUGUGAAUAGACCUUGUGCCUCACAUGACUCCAGACACGCCCGUGUCUUAGGCUGUGUGGAAACAGGGCAUACAUACUUACUCGGGUAACACGGCCAAUCACACACCCGUGUGUCUAGCCCAUGUGCCCUUCGAAAUGGCCACACACGUCCGUGUGCUAGGCCGUGUACUAGACCGUGCCAAAACUGUAGGGUAUACUGACUUAUGCAACACGGCCAAGUCACAUGCCCGUGUGCUAGGCCGUGUGCCAAUUAGGAAGUAUACUAACUUGUACCACAUGGCUGGUUACACGCCCAUGUGUGAGACCGUGUGGAGCAUACUAACUUCAUUCUAAUAUCAACACCAAGAGACACACGGCCAUGUAAUACGACCGUGUGUCGCACACAGCUGAGAUACACGCCCGUGUCUCUACUCGCGUGGACAAAAAUAAGCUAUUUGCAAGACCAAUUUGCCACCCCAACUUCAAUGUACCUACAUAAAGAAAAAUGUACAAUUUCCAAACAAAAAAAAAGUAGCCAAAUCAAUUCCAAUUCAUACACAAUUCAUAUCAUUAUAAUCUCAUCUAACCCAAAACUCAAUUCACUAUCAUUUACUUAGCCAAUUACAUGCCAAAACAAUACCAAACAAUAUGAAUCAUUUACCAUAAUUCAAAUAACCAUUUGAACAACUAUAAAAUCCUAACCACAUCCAUACAAAACAUAUCAAAAUAAGCCAUUGCUCAUGGCUAUAUAUUUACAUACCAAACCAUGUACAUUUACAAGCCAUUUCUAGUAGCUAAACACACAUCAAUAUUAAUAUCAUUUACAAGCCAACUCUCAUGGCUAUAAUCACAACCAAAAUACCACAUCUAGCAUAUACAUGUCAUAUACCAAAGAUGUAACACCCCUUACCCGUAUCCAAGGUCGGAACAGAGUAUGAGGCAUUACCAGACUUAACAAUACACAUAGACGAAAAUCGGGCCAUAAAAUUUCAUUUAAUUCAAAACUUUUCGAACACAUGCAUAACAAACAAAGCUAACUAUAUCAUCACAUCAAAACAUAGGACAUGGCACGAUUAAUUAAACUUAUAAACCAUAAUGGAUAAGGACCACAUCUCAUGAUUUUAUACGAUAACUCAAUGCAGACUGAUACGUAUGGUCAAAAUCAUAAUAAAAAUACAUAUCACAAACCAACUUCCUAUACAUGCCACUCACUUGAUAUUUCUAAUAUUUGAAUUAAUUUUCCCAAAAAUGAUAGUUUGAUAGUGUGAUUUUGCCUCCGACGAUUUUCAACCCCGAGCUGACCUGCCAAUACUAAAGAAAUGGAGAGGAUAGGUAAGCUUUACGCUUAGUAAGUUCAUAUGAAAAUAAUAAGCAAUUACUACCAUGCUUUUCAAGAUAAAGCACUAUAAUUGUACAAUUACACAUAUUCAGUAUAAGCUAUUUUUUGGAGUCCCAGUGUUAAAAAAAUCAUAUCUCAAGUUACAAAACUUGAAAUCCAAUUCCGUAAAUUUUUUAUGAAACUAGAUUCAUAUGUAUACUUACUAAUUUUUUUCUAGAAUUUUUGGUCAGGCAAUUUAGUACAGUUUAUUAGUUAAAGUCUCCCCUGUUUCAGGGUAUGACUACUCUGACCCCUGUGCACUACGAACCGAAUUUCUCCCUGUACAGAAUUCCAACAACCAUGCCGUUUGUUUCCCUUAAAAUUAGAUUCAAGAAGGAAUCCACGCAUGUAAGGUAUGACUCUCAAUAAUUUUUUUACAAUUUAUGGUGAAUUUCUAAAGUCAAAACAGGGGAUCUCGAAUUCAUUCAGACCCUAUUUCACAAGAAUUCAAAUAUCACACAAUAUAGAAUUCUUUUGUUUCCUCUGUUUCUUUAAUGUGAAAAUAGACUCAUUAAGCUUUAUUUCCAUAAUUUUUUUAAAUUUAAUUCAAAUUAGACAAUAUUUUGUGAAUUUUCAAAGUCAUGCAAUGCUACUGUCUAAUAUUGUUUUACUACUAAAGUUCACUUUUACACAAUUUCACUUAAUCCAUUCCAUUUUACCGAGGUUCGCUCAAAUAUUGAGCAUAUUACUCAUAAAUUCAAAUAAGCAUAUACUUGCACUUGUUCAUCACAUAAUCACUUUCACAUGUAUUUUCAUUUAAUCGAUUUCCCGUUGAACUCAUCGAAAUAAUAACAGAUACACAAUUGCCUGCACAUUUUCCCAUUUCCACACUUGUAGCCGAAGCUAUCUGGUACACAUAGUAGCUUGCACUUAGUACUACACAUGCGACCAACAGUCUGGUACACGUAUUAGCCUGCACUUAGUACUACACACGUGACCUCACCAUCUAAUACACAUAGUAGCCUGCACUUAGUACUACACAUGCGACCUCACAAUAGAUCAUUCGUAUCAUUUUUAUUCCGAAGGUUCAAUCGGGAAAUUCCUCACUUUUCAACAUUUUACUAAAUUGUCCGUAAUCAAUUUAAAUUCAUAAUUUACAUCAAAUAACCAUUUGAUAGGCAGCGACAUUUCAUAUGAUAUCAAAAUAUAAUAACAUAAAAAGAAUCGAUAGACUAUUUAUGUACGAAUUUACUCGAAGUGUCGAUUUCACUAUCCAUAGUACCAAUUGUCCAUUCAUAGUAUAAUAAGACACAACUCAAAUAUCAAAUCAGCUUUUAAGAAUUUACAUAACAUAUAUCACAUAUUUCAUAUAACACUUGUCAUGUAUCUUCAUUUUCUUGCAUUUCAUGUAACAUUCUUUCAUGUCAUAAUUCCACAUCAUAAACACCGUUCCAUCAAUUUUUCCAAUAUAUUAAAUCAUAAAAUAGAUGCAAUAAUAGUAAGAAAUAUAAUUCAAACAUAACAUUGCAUUAUUAUUAUCAUACGAACUUACCUCGAUCCAGAAACAGCAAUUUACCAUUUUAGUCCAUAACCUUGUAUUUUCCCGAUUUAAGCUCGAAUCUCGAUUUCCUUCAUAAUCGAACUUGGAAGCUUGGAAACCCUAGCCAUGGAGUCUCCCUUGGUAUACACGUCCAUGGUGAAGAAGAUGAGCAAAAUUGUCUUUCUAUUUUGUAUUUUAAUUCAUUUUACCCCUAAAUGACCAAAAUGCCCUUACUACUAAACUUUCCAAAAAUUCCAUUCAUGUCCAAUAUUUGUCCAUAAACUUUGAAAUUGGUUAAAUUUCUAUUUAAGACCUCCUAAUUAAUAUUUCAAAGCAAUUUCAUACUAGAAACUUCUAGAAUACAAGUUUUACAACUUAUUCAAUUUAGUCCCUAUCUUCAAAUUAAGCACUUUAUGCAUAGAAUUUUUUCACGAAAUUUUCAUACAAUCAUGGAAUCAUAUCAUAGACCUCAAAAUAAUCAUAAAAUAAUUAUUUCUAUCUCGAAUUUGUGGUCACAAAACCACUAUUCUGAUUAAGCCCUAAUUCGGGAUAUUACAAAAGAUGUUUAACUCAAAAGUACCAACUUAGAUGUUUGAUAAUGUGAUGAUGUUCUCGACGACUCCCGGAUUCAAGCUAGCUUGAUUCACUAUAAAACAUAGAAAAAUCACACAAAGUAAGCUUCAUAGCUUAGUAAGCUCGUAUAUGAAUAACUUAAUUCAUUGCAUAAAUACAAAUCAACCAACUACACAUAACAAAUCUAUAUACACAAUAACUACAAACCUUUCUCAUGUCUCAAAUCAUGAUCAAAUACAAUCUUAUCAAACUUUCAUUGUUUAAUACUUGAAUAGGUUUUGUACAUACCUAUAUCGCCUUUUACUAACCUCUUUCUCAACCACAACAUUUGUUUACCCAUUGAACCAUUUAGAAUAGAAAUCGGAUACUCAUAAAUCUCGUACGAUAAGUACCUAUACCAUGGCCCAUAUCCAAAUCAAGAUAACUUAUUCGAAGAACUAUUUUCAUGGCCCGAAGCCAAAACAUCCGAUAUGCAUGGCCCAAAGCCAAAUCGGUAUAACUCGUACCCGAAGUGCUAAUAAGAUGGCCCGAAGUCAACUCAUCCGAUAUGCAUAGCCCGAAGCCAAAUUGGUAUAUCAUCUUAUAACAUGUCACCAGUAUCCAAAUCUAUUCCUAAAGUUCAACCGGGAUUUUUAGCUUGUUGAUUCCAUCUUCUAAUAUAUCCGUAAAAUCAUAUUUACAAUUCAUACAUUAAUAAAAAUCUCAUAAUCACAAUUUAGACAACAUCAAAGCAUUUAACAUACAUUUAUAAGGAAAACGUCACAUACGAACUUACCUCAAGUAUGAAAACGGCGAAAUGAGUCAAUUACUCGAUAAUCUUACCUUUCUCUCGAUCUAAUUUCGGAUUCCUCUUUUCUUGAUCUAAAUAUAUUCAAAAUUAACUUCUUUAACCAACCACUCAUUCAAUUUAGUCCAAAACAUAAUUUAGGCUUAUUUACAAUUUAGCCCCUAAACUUUUACACAUUAACAAUUUAGUCCUUAUUUCACAAAUACACAAAAUUCACAUAUUUUCAUUAAAUCCAAGCUUUUCUAAAUUAUAUAUGGGUCCCUAGCAGCCCAAAAAUUUCAUUUAUUUCGCAUUUCAACCACUCAAUUUGCAUAUUUCACAAUUUUAUCUCUAUUAUGCAUUUUCAUCAAAAAUCACUUUACAAAACUUGAAAAUCUAUCAUCAAGCUUUCAUAUUUCAUCUUCAAAUACCAAAGAACACAUAAAAUCAUCAAUGGAAACUCUUAAAAUCUUUAACAGUUUCACAAUUAAAGGUACGGACUAGCUAGAUUGAGCUGCAACGAUUACAAAAAAUAUAGAAAUCAUCAAAAAUAGAUCAAAAAUCGUACCUUAAUUGCUUGAAUUUGCCUAGCUGAAUGAAAAACCCUAUCUUAUCUUCUUCUUCUUUUAAUUUUUGAUGCAUGAAUAUGAGAAUGAAGCUUUAAUUAGCUUUGUUUUAUUUAUUUUAACCUUUAAUAACCAAAUUACUAAACUAACCUUAUUAUAAAUCAUUUAAUAUCAUCCAUUUAAUGUCCAUAUAAGUCCUCUAACAUUUAAAAUGGUAUAAUUUUCAUUUAAGGCCAUCAAAUUUAAAACCAAAGCUAUUUGGCACCUUUAACAAGUAGAAUGCAACUUUUGCAUUUUACUCGAUUUAGUCAUUUUUCUCAAAUUGAGCAAUUAAACAAUAAAAUUAGCUCACGAAAUUUUCACACAUAUAAAAUAACAUGCUGUAAACAUAAAAAAUAAUAUUAAAAUAAUUUUCUAACGUCAAAUUUGUGGUUCCGAAACCACUAUUCUAUUUUAGCUCAAACCGGGUUGUUACACACAAUGCAUCAUCUAAUUGAACCAACCAAUUUUUUUGAGAUGAGUUCACUCUCUUCUCAAGGAUUUGAUUAAUCUUAUGAUUUGAUACAUCUUCUUGACCAUUGGCUUGCGGAUGGUAAGCAGUUGCAAUUCAGUGCUUUUCUCUUUGUACAACUUGGCAUUCUAAUUUGCCAAAAAUCUAAAUUCUUUCAAUUCAUGUAGUUGAAACAACCUAGCGUGUUUAGCUAAAUUAAUAUCAAGAUUUAAUUCUUUAACUGCCCAGUAUGCUCUAUUUUCUAACUCUAUUGGCAAAUGAUAGGUCUUUCUGUAAACACUAUGAUAGGAGACAUCCCCAAUAGAGUUUUAUAAGUUGUCUUAUAAGCUCACAAGGCAUCAUCUAAUUAAACCAUCCAAUUUUCCCAAGAUGAGUUCACUAUAUUCUCAAGGAUUUGCUUAAUCUCAUGGUUUGAUACCUCUGCUUGACCAUUGGCUUACGAAUGGUAAUCAGUUGUAAUUCGGUGCUUAACACUAUACUUUGAUAAAACAUUUUCUAAUUACUUACUGCAAAAAUGUGAAUCUUCAUCACUUAAGAGUGCUUGAGGAGUCUCAAAUCUCAAGAAAAUGUUCUUACGUAAAAAUUUUACGACUGCCUUAGUAUAAUUUGUCGACAAGGUCACUACUUUUACCCACUUGGGAACAUAAUUCACUACCAACAAAAUGUACUAAUUUCUUAAUGAAUUCAAGAAUGGCCCCAUGAAGUCAAUCCCCAUACAUCAAAAACUUCAACUUCCAAAAUCCCUUUUUGAGGCAUCUUAUCAUGCUUAGAAAUAUUUCUUGUUCACUGACAUUGGUCACAUCAUCUUACAAAAUGAUAAGUAUCCUUAAUCAUAGUUGGCCUAUAAAACCCUAAUCCUAAAAUCUUUCAAGUACUCACUUUUCCUCCAAAAUGUCCCCUAUAAGGUGAGGCAUGACACCUGACCAAAAUAUCAUUAAUAUAUCAUGCCCUAUCUAAAGUGAUUGACAUUGUGUCCAAUCACCACCCUAGUUGUAUAGUCUAGGCCUACCAUGGAAGAAUAAUCUAUUAACAUACCCUACGACCACCAAUAGGAUAGUGACACGUGGCACUUUGGGAUCCUAUUUUAGAAUAUAUAAACCCUUAACUCCCAUACAUUGGGGGAUCCUCUCUCUCUCUCUCCUCUUUCAAUAGUCAUUCUCUCCCUUUCAUUAGCCAAAUUCCAACCAAGCUCUGACCACCUUGCAAAAUAGCUCUCCACCUAACCUUAAGUCAGGUGAACUGCUAUACAUCAUCAUCAUCAUCUUCUGUUAUUUGAUUCAUCAUAAAUAUAUAUAAUACCUAAUAAUGUGGCACAAUUUAUUUCUCACCACAACAACUAAAAUUUCAAUAUUUAUUAAGAUUGAAAAUUGUUGACUGAGCAUUUCCUUUAUACACUCUCAUCAUUAAGCAAAACUUUGUUUGAGUUUUUCUUGUUCAUUUUGCUCCAUUUUCUUGAUUUCUCUUAGUUCUUUUAAUAUCAUAUUAGGGGUUUGAUUUUUUCCUAUCUUCUUUUUUUCUUGAUUUUUUUCCCAAAUAAUUUUUAACAUUUAAUUUUAGAAUGCAUAAAGCAAAUAGACAAUCAUUAAGAUGAUUAUAAGGGCAAUGGGCAUGUGUUCUACAUUGAGAUCACUUUUGCCUCAAACUUAAUUAUUUUUUGUUUAACAUGAUGGAUGUUUCUUGAUUGUCUUUACAAUUUUAUUUUCUUAUAAAUGUUUUAUCCCAUUUGCGACUUAUCCUUCUAAAUUAUCAUACCCAAACACUAUGAAUGCACUAAAAGGCUAUUAGAGUCUGGGACCAAGCCAAUACAAGACCUUAAGUUUAAAUCCUUAUGGCCCAGUCAUAAAUCUUCAUUUUACAUUGUGUUGGUUGUGGUUCUCAUAUCGGUUUCGUAUAGUUUCUUUAUUGUUUUUGUAAACAAAAUUGUUGUGUACUAUUGUUUUUUGCCAUCGUAUAUAUCUGGCAGCAAGGGUGAAGUUAGAAUAUUUUUUAGUGGGGCGGAAUUAAAUUGUAUAUUUUUACUAUAGUAAAAAUACAAUUUCACUAUUUUAAUAGCCUAUGUCAUUUUAAUUUUAAAUGAUUAAAUAAUUUUUUACCAUUUUGGGAUGGGACAAAGUGUAAUUUUAUUAUAAAGAGUGCAAAUGAAAAAUUUUCCAUUCAAAAGAGGGCAAGAUCCCUGCCAAUCCCUAACUCCCCACUACCUCGCUGGCCUUGGGGUUUUGAAUCAAUCAUGUUUUUGCUGUUGUUAUAUAUAUAUAUAUAUUAUUAAUGUUUUAAUAAUUCAAACGUUAAAUUUAGCAAUAAAUUAUAUUUAUCAUGCAUGUAAAAUUUAAAAUUGAUCCAAUAUUUUUAUGAUAUUGAUUUAAAUACUAUCUACAUUAAUAUAUAUUUAGUGAUUGAAAUUUAUUUUUAUAUAAAAUAAAUAAUUAUAUAAUUUUAAUUUAUUCCAUAUUUAAUAGUCACAAUUUACAUAAAUGAAUAAGAAAUAUAAUGGCUAGAUUUAUAAAUAUCAAUCCAUACCGGCCAAGUUUAUUCAACCCAGUAAAAGAACAAUAUAAAAAGAAACCCAAAUAAAAUGAAGCAGUGCCAGUGAAAGAAAGAGUUUUCCUUCAAAAAAGUGAAAAAGUCCACCAAGACUUUGUUGUUCUGUUCUAUAGUGGCCUUUUCUUGGGCCCGUUUUAAUAUUCAAACAACAAUACUGCGAAUGUUUUAACUUUCAAUUCAGGUGCCAAAAACGAAAACAAUUCGACUCGUUUCGCUGUUUCGUUAAAAAGACAAUCGAUCUUCAUCAAGUACCAAGUGACUGGGUUAUUCCAGAGGUGGCUCAUGAGACCCAUAAGGCUUCCUGAACUGCCCAUAGGACGGAGGAGCGCGGCGGAGGUGUUCGAAGCGGGGAUUUAUGGGAUAAUCAAACGGGUUGUUGUGAUUGGAAAUGGCUUCUCGGGAGCUGAGAAUCAAUGCAUCGGUUUGGUUCGGGCUUUAGGCCUCUCGGGUUGUCAUACUUUAUAUGUAAGCUUCUCUUUAUAUCUUCCUCUUUGACUGUUCAUUUCAAAACUCAGUUCUUUUAAUCUAAUAAUUGUGUGUCUUUUACACGUCCCAAGAUUCAAAUUGAAAUACAGCUAUUUGUAAGCAAUGGGAAAUUUUGAUUUGUUAUUAUUUAUAUAGUAUUUGUUUAAUAUAUUAUGCAGCGUGUUACAAGGCCAAGAGGAGGAAUCAAUAAGUGGCUACAUUGGCUUCCGGUUUCUCUUCAUAAAAAAUUGGAUUAUGUUAUGAGGCAAAUUUGCAUCUAUUCAGGAGUUCAAGUGGAAGCUGGAUGGAGUAAAGUGGUUCCUUUUACAAUUGAAAAAACUGGUAUCUGCUUUCAGCUCUCAAAUUAUAUGGUUUCAUAUUGCAGUACCAAAGAUGGCACCCUUUUAUGUUGAAGAAGUCUUUGAUUUGUCCUUUUUUUUUUGUCCCCCGCCCCCCCCCCAAAAAAAAAAAUCAAAAUUCAUAUGAGAACUACAGGGUUGUCCAGUGUAAUAGAAGCUGAUGCAAAACAAAUUGCAAUGAUGGCACGGGAUACAUUUGAGAAGUAAAUUCUUCCAACUUGAAUUUCUUUGUUUGCUACUACUUUUUGUUGCACAAUGUGACACUUGACGUUGAAGCUAUGUGAUUUAGCUUUCUAGUGGCAGUUCUUUCUCUUGUGAUUAUUUUCUUAUUUUAUUUUACUCUAUUAGGGAGGGCCCUCUGUUGGUCAUCGCGUCUGGUCGGGAUACAAUCUCUGUUGCGAGCUCCAUUAAACGGUUAGCCACAGAAAAUGUUUUUCUUGUUCAGGUUAAACCUUUUUUUUUUUUAAUUCUCUUUUCCUCUUUGUUUAUAUUUGAAUGUGAGUUUUUAUUGGAGUUUCCACUAGGUGCUUGAUAUACAAGGCAAUUUGUAUGUUUCCUUUGAAGUUAUUCAACUGUUUCGACUUUGUAGACCUGGGUGAUUUCACAGUACGUUAAAAGUUUAAAAGGUGGUCAGAAUGUUCAACCUUUUAUAUAUUUCUUUUCAGAUACAUAUUGGCUUUUAUAUUUCUCAUAAGAAAAAAUCCAAGAAAAUGGCCUGAAAUUGUUUAUUCAUUAUGCCGGUAAUCAUAUGUUUUUUUCCUUUUUAGAUGCACAUACUGCAAUUUGUGGUUUUAUAUAUAUUUUUCUUUGAUUCAAUUUUCAGAUACAACAUCCACGGUCACGGCUGAAUAGGUUUGAUUUAGUGAUUACUCCUCAGCAUGAUUAUUAUCCAUUGACUCCUCAUGGACAGAGACAAAUUCCUUGGUUUCUCCGGAGGUGGAUAACUCCUGGCAGACCUCCUGAUAGACAUAUGGUAUGUAUUUAAGUUGUAAAUACUGAGAAGGCAUCUUGACAUAGGAGUCUCUUUGCUGGCUGUUAAGUUAUAGUUUCUCUUGUCAUUGGUUGGUUGGUAUGUAGCUCAUCGGUAGUUGUUUCUGAAUUUCAGGUUCUCACUGUGGGAGCUCUUCAUCUGGCUGAUUCUGCUGCAUUAAGAAGUGCUGCUUCAGUCUGGCAUGAUGAACUGGCUCCGCUUGCGAGGCCCUUGCUUGUUGUCAACAUUGGAGGGCCAACAAGUAAUAUUUAGUGCAUCAUGGAGUUUGUUAUCAUUUUGAUCAAUCAUCUUUUUAAGUCUCUAACUUCUUUUUGGAUAAUGCAGUUGCUUUAUGUUAACUGAUACUUGCUAAUUUGCAUCUUUUAUUGUAGUUAUACUUGUUGUUUGAAAUGUAUUAAAGUAUCCUUUGUAUAUGUAGGAAUGUUGUUUGUUUAUAACAUAAUAUUAAAGAAUCCGAUGGCAAUUAUAAAAUAGAAAAUGAUUUAAUCUCGUUCACAGAUAUCCACCAGCAUCAUGUUCCAUUGUCAUUGUUGAACUCAUUUAAAUGCUCUUUUUUUCAGUCAUAUUUUUCACUUUUCAUAAUGAUAUAGGCAAAAGAAUCUGAUCAAUGAACUUUUCUAAUAUCCAGUCGUCAAACCCCAAAUUUCUUGUAAUAAUUUGAUUUUGUCAUGAGGGCUUUUUCACUACAUAAGAGCGUUUUAAUUGAAUUAUUGUUUAAAAGAUUGAAUGAAUUAUAUCUUCUGCAGAAUAUCUACCAACCUUCCUUUGAGACUUUUAUCUAGUAGUUUUUUAUAUGCUAAAUCAAAAGAUUUACGCAGGCAGCUGUCAAUAUGGUGCGGAUCUUGCAAAGCAGUUAAUAGCUAUGCUGCAGAAUGUUCUAUGGAGUUGCGGCAGCGUCAGGAUAUCUUUCUCGAGAAGGACUCCUGAGAAGGUAAAAACACUUUGAAAGUUUCUGUUUGUCAAAUUUGUCAACAAGAACUGACGUUAUUGGUUUUCUAACGAAUUCUUGGAUUCUUCUUGAGAAUUACACCAAUAGGUAUCAAAAAUCUUAUUGAAGGAGUUUAGUUCUAAUCCAAAGGUUUACAUUUGGGAUGGUGAAGGUAAACUGUUUCCAGUCUUCUUAAGAGAUUUCCCUCCCCUCCUUUUCAUGGUAGCUAAGUUUAUUCACCCCAUCAAUUGAUGAUAUGUUGUUUAGGUCCUAAUCCACACAUGGGACAUCUGGCUUGGGCUGAUGCUUUUGUUAUCACAGCAGACUCGGUAAGCAUGUUGAGUGAGGCUUCCACUACAGGGUAGGUCUUGAAAACUGUAAGCCACAUCCAAUUAUUAACAGGUUAUAUUGGUUUUUUGAAUUUGAACAUCCUCGUUACAAUCCACUGUGCUUCAGAAAACCAGUCUAUGUUAUAGGAGCUGAGAGAUGUACAUGGAAGUUUGCUGACUUCCAAAAGUCUCUGUGGGAACGAGGAGCAGUUCGUCCUUUCACUGGCAAAGAGGAUGUAAGUUUUUUGAUGCAUGUAAAUUUCAAUGUUCCUUCUGAUUUAUUAAAGAAAGCCACCACAAAUUUUCUCUAGCAACUGGAACUGCCUGGCCUUAUUUCUGGAAUAUCUCAAGCAUGUAAUUUUACACGCCUGCUGAAUAUGUUGGUUUUACAGAUAUCUGAGAGCUGGAGCUAUCCACCGUUAAAUGACACAGCAGAGGCCGCUAGCCAGGUGAUGAAGGCACUUGCUGAUCGAGGAUGGACAAUAGACGCAUAAUCUGCUUUCAGUGCUCGAUUUUUAUCCAAGCUUUUGCAAUUGCUUCCACCUUUGAACAGAGUUUAAUCCAGUCCGUACCAACUGAUUGAUCUUCUUUUGCACACAUGUCCAAGUGAAGACAUAUCAGAAAAGUUUUUACUGUAGUUCUUUUUCUUUCACAAUUAAUUUUGUCACACCUUGCUUCUUGUUGACACCACAAAAAUUUUGAGAGUGUAAGGUAAAAGAGACAUGAAUUCUACUUUGUUCAUUAUAUUUUGAUCCAAAGGCAAAUGGAUAAAAGAAACACACUUCUGUUCCGCUCUAUCUGGUUUGUAAAAUCUAAAACCCCCACAGUUUCUACAUCUUGCCUGAAUCAACCUCAUCGAAACAUGACAUAAAUGGAAAACAAACUUACAGACAAGCUUGAAAAAAUUCAAGCUUCAUCAGAUCCGUGAAUAUCAUUUAUUAAAUGUGAUUAUAUGAAUCAAUUGAGUCCGGGUUCAUUCCCUAUAUAAAAGUCCAUUUUGAUUUGUUGUUGGUUUAGGCAAUGACCAAUUUUGGGAGUGUUGGAUUAGGGAGGUCAGGUGGAGUUUAGUUGAGAGAUUAAGAGAAUUAACUUUUAUUUCGUGAGUUGGUAUUUUUGUCGUAGUUUUGUUUGCCUUUGAUUACAAGCUCCUACUCCAUUUCUAUUAAGUGAAAGCAACACUUGUAAAUGACCAAAAACUUGGCUCUUGCAACCUCUCAGCUCAUCUAAAUUUAUCAUAAUUUUAUACCCAUGUUUAAAUACAUAGAAUAUCAAAGUAAAUGAAAAAUUAGGUAUCAUAAAUUCUGACGAUAACUUACAAAAUGCUAAUUAAAAUAUACUAAUUUAAGCCAAUUACGUCUAUAUCCACUGCGAUUACCUCUACCAGCUUCAAUGCUAUAUGUGGAGAGAGCCCUACUCCAUUAUAAUAAAAAAAACAUAUAUAUUUAAUUAUGAAUUUCAUUCUUUAUUUAACAAAUCUAAAAAUUUACUCUGCCAAAGUUUUAUAAGGUAAAUAACACAAUUCAUCACCAAAUUUCCGUAAGUUUACAAUUUAAGCACCAAAAAAUAAAAAUAAAAAUAUUCAUUUUAGGCAUCAUGAUCAAAAACUAUUUUCAUUUUAGGCACUACCAUUAAAAACUAUUCUCAUUUUGGUCACCCGCUAUUAAUUCAAUGUUGUACAAUAAUUUUAAUCACCCAACUUUAAUAAAUUUUCAUUUUGGUCACUUAUUUCUUUUUUUAAAUUAAUUUUAUUUUUUUCAAAAAAAACUUUGGUUUUCAUAAGAAAUUGAGUUAUUCAACUACGGAGGUAAAACUUAGGUUUUCCUUGUAACUCUAUUCCUUGUAAAAACUCAAGUUUUUUUUUGUAAAAGAACAAAUAAUUCACUAGAAAAAUUCAGGUUUUCACUCGUUACUAAAAAAAACUAAAAUUAAUUUUAAAAGAGGGGAAAAAGGAAAUGAAAAGGGUAAAAUGUUUUUUUCCAAUAAAAACCCGUGUUACCUAUAAAAACCUAGGUAAUUCUUUAUAAAACCCCAUGUUUUUUCUUUUUACGGGAAAAUGAAAAGUUUAAAAUUAAUUUUAGAAAAUGAAAAAUUAAAUGAAAUUAAAAAGAUAAAAUAAGCGACCAAAAUGAGAAUUUAUUAAAGUUAGAUAACUAAAAUUAAUUUAUGAUAACAUUAAAUUAAUGAUAAGUGAUCAAAAUAAAAAUAUUUUUUAACGACAGUGCAUAAAAUAAAAAUAGUUUUUAACAAUAAUGCUUAAAAUGAAAUUUUUUAUUUUUUAGUGCCUAAAAUAAAAAAUUUUAAAAAUUAAAUGAUUAAUUGUAUAAUUUACAUACUUUAGUACUUAUACGUAACAUGAAAAUCAACAAUAUAGUAGUUUACAUGUAAUGAAUUAGCAAAAAUAAGUAUUCUAAUAAGAUGUACAUAACAUAUUAGCAAAAAUCUAUAGUUUAAGUCUAUAUGCUUACCAACAAUUGGGCUAAUUUCUCAGAAUUAAAUUUUGUCAAUUAAAAUAAAUAGAUUGUCUUUUCAAUUUUUAAAAAAUAAAUAUAUCAAAUUCGACCAAUAGAAUUAUAAGCUAAUCAUCUAUAAAAACUUCAUCCAUUCAACCAAUUUCCAUCACAAAAACAAAGCUUCAACUUCUCUUUUAUUGUAUAGUUCUCAAAUUUCCUCUAUUUUCCCUCCCAAAACAAAAGAAAAGAAAAAAAAAUGAUGAAGAGCAGUGAUCACUCAAGCAUUAAUGUGGCAGAGUCGAGCGGCGUUGAAAAAGGCAAAGGAUCACUCAUUGCUACAUCCAGGGAGCAAAAGAAGGGAUUCAAGAAAGGGUUGGGUAUUUUGGACUUCCUUCUGAGACUAGGAGCCAUUAUUUCAACUAUAGCCGCUGCUGCUACCAUGGGAACCAGUGAUGAAACUCUUCCUUUCUUCAGUCAAUUCUUCCAGUUCGAAGCCAGUUAUGAUGAUCUUCCCACACUUAUGUACGUUGCUUAGUCAUAACAUAUGUAUAAUGACAGCUAGAUAUUGUUGAAGAAAGAUUGGAAUAUAAUGAGAUAUAUAUACAUAUAUAAUCAAUUUAUUUGCAGGUUUUUUGUGAUCGCAAUGGCACUAGUUGGCGCAUAUCUCGUCCUUUCCCUUCCUUUCUCCUUAGUUACCAUCGUCCGCCCUCACGCAGUUGCGCCGAGACUCCUCCUUUUCAUUUUGGACACUGUAAGCAUUCGCAUGCAUGUUCGGAAAUUCCCAUAUGAACCUACCAAAAUCAAUAUAUUAACGUUUCGGUUGAUGUGUAUAUAUAUGGAUGUAUAUGCACAUGGCAUGCAGGUGGUAUUGACUUUAGCAACCGCGGCCGGCGCAGCGGCAGCAGCCAUAGUCUACUUGGCUCAGAAUGGGAACCCGAACACAAACUGGCUAAGCAUCUGCGACCAAUUCGGUGAUUUUUGCCAGGGUGUGAGCGGCGCUGUGGUGGCAUCGUUCUUUACUGUUGUGGUUCUGAUGUCGUUGAUUCUUCUGUCUGCUUUUGCCCUCAAAAAGCACUAAAACUAUAAAAGAGAUUGCUGAAGAGAACAAGCAUGAGCGAUCGAUUUACAUUUAUUACAACUUGAUAUAAAGCUAUAUGUUUCAUUUGGCAUCAAUCUACCGUCAUGUAAAGCUAUAUGUUUAAAAAUUUUAGUUUAAGAUUAAAGAAUUAAUGAAUUUGUACCUAAUGUAGUAAAGGUUCAAUUCUUAUUUAGAAGAAUGAAAUUCUAUUGAGAUUUGGAGAUAUUUCAUAAUCAAUUAUUUACUUCUUUGAAUAUUUGGGUUAACACACGUGGGUGUGAAUGCCUUGAUAUCAGCAAAAAAUAGAAUUUAUUUAUUGAUUUUUUUGAAACUUUUGUAAUGUAAUCAAAUAAGUUAUUUAUUUUUUAGGCCAUUUGAUUCACAAAAUGUGUGUGAUUUACUUUUUAACACAUCUGUUUUAUGAAAUGUAAUAUUAUUUCUGUUAAUAAAAUUAUCAAAAUGAUAAAAAAAAGAAGAAGAUAAAAUUGAUAUAAAAGUAAUAUUUCGAGCAAAUUAUAAUAGUCAAAAUGUAAUAAUAAACGAAAUAUUAGUCCUAUAAAAUAAUAAAUAAAUAUGAUUGAAAUAUUUCUUGAAAAUUAUAUCAAAUAACUAGACAUUUUGAUUUAUUAAUUAUUAUACUAUUAUUUUGUUUUUAAUUAAGUAAAAUAAAUCCAUAGUAAUUUUUUUUAUAUAAGGGACAAAACUAAAUUACUACCAAACUUCCUUUCAACAAUUUAAAUAGUAAGCAAUGUAGGCAGCAUCCUUUGCAUCUCCUUAUCCUGCAGUCCUUGCAAUAUAGUCUCCGGCAGAUCGGGAAAGGCAUAAGGGCCAAUCGGUUUGUUGAGCAUUGUGGCUGCCAUGGCGUCAGCAAGACAAUUUCCCUCUCUAUAUGUAUGGAGUAGUUGCACUUCCCAACAUCUUCUCAACAAUUCCAUGAUGGCUCGGAUAACCCCGCUCAACACCAAACUAUCACAUUCAGUCUUAAGUAGCUUUAACAAUUCAAGAUUACGCAUUUCCAACAUUAUCUGGCGAAGACCAACGUUCCACGCUUGAGUUACUGUCAAAGACACCCCAACGCUUCCGCUUCUAGCACUGUGCAUCUGCCAACCGCUCGAGCAAAACCCAACACCUAAACUCCUGCAUGAUCACGAUAGAUUUGACACCUUCUCUAAGCACAUGGCUUACAUCCUCCUCCUCAACACCAAAGAUUUAGCACUUUGAAUCCGAUGUAAGAUUUGUUUUUGUCUUGAGACAGAAUCGCCUUUGUCUUAAGAUAAUUAGACAUCAAGCCUAAAAAAGAUUUGUUCAGUUUCAUAUCUCAAGACAAUUAGUGGCGAAGUUAGGGGGCUAACAAGGGUCUCGGCCCCUAAAAUAAUUUUUUUAUUUAAAUUUUUUAUAAUUUAUAAUAUUUUAAAUUAAUAAUGAUAAAGUUACACUUUGACCACCCCAAAACGAUAAAAUUUUGAUUUAAUCUUUUAAAAAUUAUAAAGGCAUAGACUAUUAAAAUAAAAAAAUUGCUGUUUUACUAUCAUAAAAAUAUACAAUUUAAUUCUAACCUCCAAACAAUAAUUUUCUGGCUCAAUCACUAGAGAUGAGAACCCCUUGUAUCGAGACAUUUCAACAUCGAAUUAAAAAUAGAAAAAUAGGAGAGGCCUGUCUGGAGACAUGCUAUCAUCAAAAAUAAAAUUGUGGCUUGUCUUGAGACAUUGAGUCUCUAUCUCGAAACAUAAUGUUAAAACUUGAAAAUUGAAUUUGGAUUCGAGUUUCAACUCUCAAAUUGACUUACUAUCACCAAGUAACUCAAUGAAUUGUAUUAUUACACCAUAUGAAUGUAAAAUUGUGAUUGAAAUGGAUGAUCAUUUUGAUACGAAUGGUAAUUGAAUUCUAAAUGAUAUGAGAAAGAAAUAAGUUAAUUUGAAUUGCUUCGGCAACGUAAUAUGAUAUCUCACAUUUAAAUUUGGCGACCAAAUCAAAUGUGAGGUGUUACAUUAACAACUCAACAUCCCAAUUAUUAUUAGGAAAAAUAAGAGAACAAAAAUAUUGAAAAAAAUUUAAUUUACAAUAGUAUAUGUUAGGAUCGUCCCGAAUAAGCAACGAACAAGUAAAAAUAGUAGAAGAAAUUGAGAAGAUGAACACACAAAUUUAACGUGGAAAAACCCCUCAAAAGAGGAUAAAAAACCACGGGCAAAGAUAAUUUUACUAUAAUGGCAAAAGAAUGAAGAGUACAAAAGAUGGAGAUAAAAACUAAACCCCGAAAACCCGAAAAACAAAGAACCCUCAAACAUAAACACAAAAUUCUCUGAAUGUGUUAUGAGUUCUAAUCUAAUGGGUGUCUCUUAAUUCUAAGAUUGUAAAGGAGCCUAUUUAUAGGCUAAAUUAGUAAGUCAAAUAAACUAUACUAAUAAAUGCUAAAUAUAUUAUACUAAUAAAUACUAAAUCUUCUAGAAAGAAAAUAUAUUUUUGUUUAACUUGACUUGCAAGCAAUCUCUUAGAAUUUGGGUCACACAAUUCUAACAAUCUCCACCUUGACACGAAUUCUUUCAAUGCCAUCUUUGCCAAAACCCGCCACGGGCCUAUCUUGAACUAUGCAGGGAAUUAACUGAGUUGAAUCUAUGCUUAGAAGCUGGAAGACUUCUAGCCUUCGACUUGUGCACUGCCAAAUCAAAACUAACCCAGGUCUGAUUUUCACGAAUACAGUGCCCUAACUUUUCAAAACCUGCAUCCAAAAGAGAACCUCUCUUCAACGAAACGGUCAUACCUUUUCCCUCCUAUGACCAAGUUGCCUCCGCUUCAAAUGAGUUGACUUUGACUCCGUAACGGACGAGGGACGUCCGAUUUCACUGGUCACUGUAGAACCUUCCAGAAUAUAAAGACUGCCGGUUCUUUUACCUUUUAACAAAACGAGAGCUCCACGAGAUACUUUAAUGUCGCUCGACUCGAUGUUGAUUCUGCAUCCUUUCAAGUCUAAAAUACUUAAGGAGAUGAGAUUCUUUCGUAAAUCAGGUACAUACCUGACAUCUGAGAGUGUCCUAAUCGUCCCAUCGUGUAUCCUAAUUUUAAUAGUACCAAUACCGAUUAUUUUACUAGAUGAAUCGUUUCCCAUGUGCACAACUCCACCUUCAACUGAACUGUAUGUGGAGAACCAUUCUCUAUUGGGACACAUGUGGAAAGAACAUCCUGAAUCUAGGAUCCACUCAGACGUAAGCUUGGAGUUAUCGCUCGUUGACACUAACAAGAAAUCAUCACCGCCUUCAUCGACCAAAUUAGCACCAACUACAUCUUCCUCGUUACUCUCAGCAGCUCUUUUAUUUCGCAGUUUAUAACAAUCUGCUUUGACGUGACCUAACUUUUUGCAAUAGCGACACCUUUUGUCUCGUUUCUUUGAUGCUACCAAAACGGAAGCUUGUCUAUCUGCUUUGCUAUUCAAAUCAAACUCAUUGUCGAGUUUGUCUCUACUCAACAAAUGACCCUUCACAUCUUCGAACGAGAGUUUGUCUCUGCCAUAAAUCAAGGUCUCCCUGAAAGACUUGUAUGAAGAGGGUAAAGAGCACAAUAAUAGCAUAGCUUGAUCUUCAUCGUCAAUAUGAACCUCAACGUUCUUUAAAUCAUUUAAAAGAGUAAUGAAUUGACUGAUGUGAUCUUUAAGAAGCUCACCUUCGUUCAUGCGAAACGUAAAUAGACGUUGUUUCAACACUAAACGGUUAGCCAGAGACUUAGUCGCAUAAAGAGUUUCUAACCUUUUCCACAAGGCGAAUGAGGUCUUCUCCAUCAAUACCUCCUGCAAUACUGUAUUCGCGAGGCACAACUGGAUUGCAGACAAGGCCUUUUCAUCAAGCUCUUCCCAUUCUGUUUGAUUUAGAUUCUCAGGCUUUUUCCCUGUAACAACCUUUUUCAAGCCAUUUUGAACUAGAAUUGCCAUCAUCCGAACUUGCCACAGAUUGAAAUUUGUCUCACCAUCGAACUUCUCAAUUUCAAACCUUGUUGCUGCCAUCUCUGACCGGGCUGAUCUAUGAAAGUUAAACUAGCUCUGAUACCACUUGUUAGGAUCGUCCCGAAUAAGCAACGAACAAGUAAAAAUAGUAGAAGAAAUUGAGAAGAUGAACACACAAAUUUAACGUGGAAAAACCCCUCAAAAGAGGAUAAAAAACCACGGGCAAAGAUAAUUUUACUAUAAUGGCAAAAGAAUGAAGAGUACAAAAGAUGGAGAUAAAAACUAAACCCCGAAAACCCGAAAAACAAAGAACCCUCAAACGUAAACACAAAAUUCUCUGAAUGUGUUAUGAGUUCUAAUCUAAUGGGUGUCUCUUAAUUCUAAGAUUGUAAAGGAGCCUAUUUAUAGGCUAAAUUAGUAAGUCAAAUAAACUAUACUAAUAAAUGCUAAAUAUAUUAUACUAAUAAAUACUAAAUCUUCUAGAAAGAAAAUAUAUUUUUGUUUAACUUGACUUGCAAGCAAUCUCUUAGAAUUUGGGUCACAUAAUUCUAACAGUAUAUUUGGCCAUUUCUAGGACCUCCAGAAUACAUCACAUUAAAAAAAUUAUUUUUUAUUAAAGAUUUCAUUUUCCAUAUCAAAAUAAAAGUAUAAAACAUAAAACGUACGUUUUCUCACUUAACAUUUCACUUCCAAAGCAAAAGAAAUAAAAUAAAAAAAACCAAUGCGUAACGAAAAUAGACUUCACAAUUUUAACUAAAUAUUAAGGGUGAGUAAAAUUCAAUUUGAUUUGAAAAAAAUAAAAAAAAAUUUAAAUUUCAAGUUAAUUGAAUCGAGUUAUUCCAUUUUCUCGAGUUAACUCAAAUUCGAAUUUCGAUUUCGAUUGAGUCAAAUUUUACAAUUCGAUUAAUAUAUUGGUAUAAAUAUCCUUUUAGUUCCAAUCAAAUUUGAAAAUAAGUAAAUUGGUAACACAACUCAAAUUUUCUCCUAGGUCCAUAAUUAAUCCUAUGUAUGGAUCCUUAGGAUUGGUGUAUUCUUUUCUAUCUUAUAUACCACGGUUUCGGAUCAUGGAUCAAGCCAAGCAUCACAACUUCUUCUACCCAUCCUGUAUGUUGUCCUUUUGGCUCCGUGUUGGAAUAGAAACUUAUUGUAUUGUAUUAGUAGACGAAAUCGUUUAUCAUUAUGAUAGGUGUCAAGUGGAAGUACAGUGAUGUAUGCAGCUGAGGCAUCCUAACAGACUGGUACACUUGAACCUUGUUCCUACAUGACCCGAUCAGUUCGAUCAGGCACUCGCCAUCUAUUUUCAUUGUUCAACUCUUUGACAACACGAAAAAUCCAUUGUUCAACUCUUUGACAUGAAAAAACCAAAAGCUCUACCCUCCCUCUCUAUCUAUCCAUGGACUCUCUCAACAAAAAUUACAAAAAAAAUUAAAAUAAUUUUUAAAAAUAAAAAAAUUUAUAAAAAUUUCAUAAUUUAUAUUUUAAAAAUAUAUAAAAUAUUUUAAAAAAAUUCUAAAGAAUAUAUAAAGAAAGUUAAAAAUUUUAAAAUUUUCUAAAAUAAUAAUUUUGGGGACCUCAAUAAGUUAAUGGUUUCAAAUUUAUCUUGCUAAAGUAUUUUUUCUUAUUUUGCUUUGAAUUUUUGUUCAAAUACACGUGGUUCCAAAUAUAUAUUGUAAAAAGAUUUUAAUUUGACAUAUUUAAUUUUUUAAUUUAACUCAAACAAUUUCGCUCGAUUCGACUCGACCUGAAUUUUAUUUCAAUUGACUCGAUUUGAAAAAUUUUCUAAUUGAGUUAGGGUGAUAAAUUAGGACUUAUUAACUCAAUUAACUCGAAAAUUUUCAUUCAAUUCGACUUGAUUUAAUUGAGUGCUCACCCUACUGAAUAUUGUAAGAAGUUAAUAAAUUUAUUUUAGAAAAUAUAUAAAGAAAAAAAUUGAUUGUAAUUUUGAAGAAGACAAACAAAAUUAAAGGAGGUUUAUAUAAAUGAUAGAAAUGGUGACACCAGUUGAAGACCCAAUUUUGGCUCGGGCCCAUAUACAUACAAUAGACAAAAGACAACAGUCCGAACCUAAGUUACAGCAGGCCCAAUUCAUAAAAACAAGGACUUGGGUCCAAAAAUACAGGCCCGAUAGGCCCAAAGUUUGGGGUUUUCGGGAAACCCUGGGUCUCCAUGCGCCGCACGAAUGCAGCCACCAUGCUCUCCACCUCACACGUCCAGCCAACUCGCGUGUAGCACGACCCACGCCCCACGUUCACCAUACCUGCAACUAGUAGAAGCAAAGAAACUGUUGUAAAGUUGGCUAUAAAAAGCCACGAAUUUUCAUUUGUUGGAUUUUUUUUUUGGAAUACAAAAUACACACAAAGAAUCCAAGAGCAGUGAAAAAAAUACUUCAAGGUGGUUCAUCAUUAUUUUAUUCUAUUUUUUUUUUCAUUUUCAUUUGAGUUCACGUAAUACAAAAUAAUAUAUCGUAGAAGGGAGAGGAGUCGUAUCUUUUGAUUCGCUAGCAAAAGGGGGAAAUUUUCGGCCUUUCGGUGGCCAUCUACAGAGUGCGCGAGGCGGCAGAAGAGGGCCUGGGUUUUUGCCCUUUCAGCUGAGAAAGGAAAAUGAUGGAAAUGUUCUAGGUUUUUUUUAAAAAAAAGGUUAAAAUGUUUUUUAAAGCAGGUUUUAAGCAAUAGAUGGAAAUAGCAUCGGGGAAAGGAACAGACAGCUUUUUGACUUGGUCUAUGCACAUAAUUUCUUUGAAUGGUUAAUUUGCGCAAUUGGACCCUCCCCUCUUGCACUGGCUUGUAAUUGAAGCUUGUUUAUAUUUUCUUUUUUUUUAAAAAUUGUCCCAGAAAUUUGCGCGUCCGUUCAUUUCAGUCCGCGCUGAAAGGAAUUGUUUUGGGGCAUGGUUUAUUUUAUUUUUCGGUCCUUGCAAAUUUACACGCGCUACAUUUGGGUCCUGAUUUUGGUUUUUAACGCUUAUUUUAUUUAUUAAUUGUCCCAUUUAGUUUAAUUUUAUUUCAAUUGAGUUUUUUUUUCCAUUUCAACAUGUAUAAUCCAUUACUUUAAUUUAUUUAGCAUUCAACUCUUUUUUUUAAAAAAAAAUAUUAUUUAAACAUACAUUUUGGGCUACUUUAAUAAUUUUACCUUGUUUUUUAUUUGUUCAAAUUGUAAAGUGUUAUUUUAAAAUUCUAUUUUAUGUAGUAUCAUUUUAAGUUCUUGUAUAAUAUAUGGUUAAAAUAGAUGUAUAUACUAUUAUUAUACAUAUAUAAUUUUUGAUAAAAUUAACCCUAUUCUAUAUACAUUAUUGUUUUUAUAUUAUUUUAUGUAAAUAUUUUCUUUUAAAUUUAUUAUGUAUAUAUAUUCUCUUUAAAAUUUAUUUAUGCAUAAUUUGAGCUUUCUUUUAAGGAUCUUAUUUUUAAUUGUAUAUUUUAUUUAUUUAGAAUACUUUAGUAUCUUUGUAUAUGCAUUAUUAAUAUUUUUUCCCCUACAUGCGUCAUUAGUCACAUUAAUUUGUUUUACUUGAAAUUAUGUUAUAUACUAUUUAUUUCGAAUUUCUUCUUGUAUAUUAUAUGUUUUAAUAAUUGUUUAUGUAUUAUCAGUUUUUGUGUACAUAUUAGUUAUGUUGAAUUUUAACAUGUGUUAUUCCUUUAUAUAUUUUUCAUACGGGUUUUUGAAUUGUUUUGCGAUGGUUCCUGGUUUUCAUAUGGUCUUAUGUAUUAUGAGUUUUUUUUUCCAUAAUUUAUUGUUUUAUACAUAUAAUUAUAUUCUUAUUUCUUAUUGUUGUAUCAUGAUUAUAAUUCUCAUAUCCACUUAAUAUCGAUUGUCCUCUAUUUCAAACAAAUCAAGUAAGUAUAUUUUGACUCAGUUUUUGUAAUCGCUUAUUUGAAAUUUCACAAAUCAAGGCAAUGUUUCGUGUUUGGAAAUUCGAGGAAUCGUGCACUAACGUGCUGGGUUUCUAUUUAUUGUUGGACCAAAUAACCGAAUACCAUUUUAAAAAUUUUCAUCUCGUGUUUUGGAAAUCAUGAGGUGAUCUCAAUUUUUGGAGGCUUAAAAUAUCGUGUCCUAACGUGCUGGAUGUGGUAUUUUAUUCCUUUGGAACGAGUGAAUCUUAAAAUCCAACUUGAGUUGUUUCGCGUGUUUUGGAAAUCAUGAAGUGAUCUCAAUUUUUUUUGGAAGUUUAAAAUAUCGUGUCCUAAUGUGCUGAAUGUGGUAUUUAAUUCCUUUAGAACGAGUGAAUCUUAACAAACUCGAAUUGUGCACGCACUUUUAAAGGGAUCGUAUUUCAAUUUUUUUUUUAAUUUUCAACAUUAGGACAUAAAUUAAUCAAUUAGGUACCAAUUUUGGGCGUUACGAGGGUGCUAAUCCUUCCUCAUACGUAACCGACUCCCGAACCCAUUUCUUUUUUUUUCGUAGGCCAAAACCUAUAUUUUAAUAAAAUGAUUUAUCAGGUGAUCCGAUCACACCUAAACCAAAAAAGAUUGGUGGCGACACUCCUUAAUUCAUUUUUAAAGUCGAUCCCCGUUUUUUUCAAACUUUUAAAAAUGGUUUUGACAGCUUGGCGACUUCGCUGAGGAUCAAUAAGAGAAUCAAGCCGUAAAAUUGAUUAUUUUCUGUCCUUUUGUCAAAAAUUUAAAAUUUGGGUUUUAACAUACGAUCCUUUUAUUGCAUUUCAUGGGUUUUAUGGUUUUUUUCAUUUUAUUUGUGUUUUGCAUUUUGAGUUUUUAUAUCCCCUCGCAUCAUCUUGCAUGACCGUUGUGGUCGCACCUUUUUUAAGUGGGAGUGAGAAACUAUGCCUCUGUGAGGUUUUCACCUCCGCAUGGGCUAGUGGACUGCUUCCGGGAUACAUCCGUACCUAUGUCUUCGUGAGGUUUUCACCUCCACAUGGCCAUAGGGAAAUGUAUUUUCCUGAAUCGAACUCGAUCCACAUGAGACUAUAAUGGGUAAGGGUUGAGGAAUCUGCUGGUUCAAGUACCAUUUUCUAGAACCGAGCCACAUAUUGUGAACUGUAGGAGCCCGCCCUAGGUAGAGCUAUGUUGAACCCUAGCGAUUACCCAGUUAGGUGUUUGAUUAUUUUCUGUUUGCUUUGAUUUUUUUUAUUUUUCGAUACUAACUUGUUGUGUUUUGUUGUGGUUAUGUUUGCAUGUCAUUUCAUAUUAAAGAGGUGUCGAUUUUUGUUCAGUUGCUAAAUUUAAAACCUGGUUAUAGAGAGUGAAUUCCUUGAUAAAGUAGAGGAUAAUGUGGCUGUCCGUAUGUGGUCAGAGAAUAUGCAACUUAAGAAAGGGGAUAGCUUGGCUGAGGGGUGUACAUCGGAAUUGGGAAACUUCACUCGUAUCAAUGUGACCCAAAAUGAACUCCAGAAGUUGAGGGAUAUAUGGGCUAGUUGGGAUGAAAAGGCUAGGCAGCUGUUCUAUCAAAAUUAUGGCGACUUACCCUACCUGCUUGACCUCAAGGUGGACAAGUACUUGUUUCGGGCUAUGGCUCAGUUCUGGAACCUGGCAUAUAGUUGUUUCACCUUUGGGAAGGUGGACUUGGUGCCUACUGUGGAGGAGUAUACAGCUUUUCUUCGUUGUCCAAAGGUUCAAGUCGACAAAGUUUAUUCCAAGGCUGCUAGUGCCCCAACUUUUGUAAAAAAGUUAAUGAGUAUCACCGGGAUGAGUGAACAGUGGGUUACAGUCUGAAUUCAGCAAAAGGGUGAUGGUAAGUGCAUUUCUUGGGUGAGUUUGAGGGACCUGAUCUUAGCACAUCCAGAUACAAAGAGGAAAGUUGAUGUUUUCGCCUUGAGUAUCUAUGGUUUGGUGAUUUUCCCUAAAGCUUUAAGGCAUAUGGAUGAAGCAGUUGUCGAUGUCUUUGAUCGACUUGACAAAGGGAUCACACCGAUGCUUGCAAUUCUAGCUGAGACAUUCAGAUAUUUGAGUGUAUGUCGGAGGGCAAGUGAAGGAAGAUUUAUAGGGUGUGCGCAAUUGUUGCUGGCUUGGUUCCACAGCCAUUUUUGGAAGGUGGAUAAGGUUUCUUAUUGGGUUUUCUCCGAGAGUUACUCCCCGUUAAAGGAAAUAAUAGCCAUGUCCAGGAGAGAUGACAUAUCAGAAGAAAAUUGGAUCGUGCUCCUCCGAAAUCUUCAAGAAGAGGACGUUGAGUGGAGAGCUUCUUGGUUUGUUCCUGAUGAGAUUCUUUAUCAGUGUGGGAGUUUUGACUGGGUACCCCUGCUUGGAAUUUGGGGAGCUGUUGGAUAUGCUCUUUUACUCGUUUUAAGAUAAUACAGGUCAAGGCAAUUUAUACCGAUGACACAUGGACUAGCCUAGAGUGAGUUCUCGUAUAGGGAGAACAAUUACAAAAAGAAGGUUCAAGAGAUUUCUGAUGCUUGGAAACAGAUACGCCAGAUGAAGAGAUUGACUGUAGAAUCAAUGACGACUCCUGAAUACAAGGGAUGGUUGAGUAAAAGAGUUAAUGAUAAUAUCUCUGAGCUGAGUUUGGAGGGUGUUCAUACGAUAGAAGAAUACUUGCAAGUAAUCCCCACCGAGCUUGAAAUCAUAAAACGGGACUUUGAAGAGGGAAAUACGGAGUUAGGGAAAAAGAUAGAACAGUUGGAGGAAGAAAAGAUGCAUUUGAGGUUGGAUGUCGAUGUUCAGAAACUUGAGGCUGAAAAGUUGAGGAAAGGGAAAAGAAGCAUUGAUGAAGACUUGGACAGUUUGAAAACUGAUUACAAGAAGCUACGUAUGUCAAUUAGAAAUGCUGGAUUGGGGAAGACGUCAGAACAGUGGCGACAGAAAAUUCAAGAGGAAAAGCCUAGAGCAGAUCAGUGGGAGAAGAGGUUCCAUGAUGCUCGAGCACGUGAAAAUGUUUUAAAAAAGAGCUUGGUUGAAAGCCAAGAUGAGAAGAAGAUGUUGGUAGCUCAGGUAGUGGAUUUAAAAAGGGCACUGCAUCAGUAUCGUGGAUGUAACUCCAACAUUGAAUUAAGGGCCAGCUUGAAUAGGAUCGAGGAUUUGAAAGGAAAAGUGGAAGAACUUGAGACUAUGCUACAGAACUGUGAACUCCGAAUUGAAUUCCUUGAGUCGAACAAUGAGCAAUGGAAGGAACAGCUCCGUCGAUCGCAAGACCAAGUCAAGGAUAGAGAUCAUAUCAUGGGUGAAGCUAUAGCUCAGAUACGAGAAGUGGCCGAUCAUUUACAAACCUUAGCAGUUUAAGCUGAUGUGCUAAGUGUGAAGUAUGAGUUAGAGUCAGAUCGGGGUCGUGAGCUGGCUUGCAUUCUUAAGAAAGUUAAAACUUUGGGCAUUAGGGCAAAGUCGUAUAUAUGAUCUGUUUUAUGCAAAGGAUUUUGCUUUCUAAUAAAGUUUUUUAAAUGGAAUUGAAUCAGAAUCGAUGUCUCUUUAGUUGUACAUUCAUCUCAUGCAUUUGCAUUUCAUUGCAUCAUGUGUAUUAAAUUUUAUAAAAAGAACCUUAAUUAAUUGAAAAUUGUAUUAUAGUUACCCUGGAACACCAAUAUUACACAUGGAAAAAGACCAAAGCUAUGGAUCAAAGGUUGGAAAAAUUGGAGCAAAUGGAGAAAGAAAUGCAGGAAGAGAUGCAAGCGCAAAUGCAAGAGCAAUUAGCUAGGAUCCAGCAAGAUAUGAAAGAUAAAAUGCUAGAAUCUCAGAGGAGUAUGAUGAGCGAAUUGACUCAGCUACUAGUUGGAAGGUCGGAAAAGGGGAAGAGUCCCAUGAUCAAUGCUGAGGAUGAUAGCGGGGUUCUUGCUUACCCUUUGGGUUUCACCCCAACAAAUACUCUAGUGCCUCCGCAAAGGGUGUCUAUCAGUAUCAAACCCUAAUAUCAGACUGAUACUUCGGCACCGAAAAAUAUCCCGAUAGGCUUGUGUUCUAACCUUAAAGACAAUCGGGCAAAUCCUACGGUCCCUGACUUCGAUAAAGUAGCAGAAAUAGGAAAGGUAAGAAUGAAACUUCCAAAGCAAUUGAAAGACCGAUAUAAAUGGUUGGAGGAGAAAUUCAAAGCGUUAGAAAGCGCUGAUUAUCAUUGUGGAAUAGAUGCUAAGGAGUUGAGCCUGGUCUCGGAUUUGGUACUCCCUCCGAAGUUCAAAAUAUCAGAGUUUGAGAAAUAUAAUGGAACCAGUUGCCCAGAGGCUCACAUCACGAUGUUUUGUCGAAGGAUGACUGGUCAUGUCAAUAAUGAUCAGUUAUUGAUCCAUUGUUUCCAGGACAGUUUGGUUGGGGCUGCGGCCAAGUGGUACAAUUAGUUGAGUUGUAGCCAAGUUAAAUCAUGGAAAGACUUAGCACAGGCCUUUAUAAAACAAUAUGGCCAUGUGACUGAUAUAGCACCUGAUAGGAUUACGUUACAGAACAUGGAGAAGAAGUCAAAUGAAAGUUUCAGGCAAUAAUCUUAGAGAUAGAGAGAGAUUGCUACACAAGUCCAACCCCCACUGUUGGAAAAGGAAACAACCAUGCUUUUCAUUAAUACCCUGAAAGCACCUUUUAUUAAUCACAUGCUGGGAAACACAACUAAGAGUUUUGCGGACAUAGUUAUGCCCGGUGAAAUGAUAGAGAAUGCAAUAAGGUGCGGAAAGAUAGAGGCAGGGGAAAGCACCAGGAGGUCGGCCCCGAAAAAGAAAGAAAAUGAAGUCAGUAAUGCAAACAUGGGUUAUGCAAAGCCAAUCAUGGUAAAUCAACCGAAAGUGGUAGCCACGGGCCAGCAAGCUUCGCCAAGGCAGGAACCCCAUACAAAGUAGAACACGAAGAAGCCCCAGUUUACUUUCAUUCCAGUAACGUAUCGGGAGCUGUACAAAAGUUUGUUUGAUGCACACAUCGUAUCUCUUUUCUAUUUAAAACCACUGCAACCCCUAUACCCCAAGUGGUAUGAUGCAAGUGCUCAAUGUGAAUAUCAUGUUGGAAUCGCGAGUCACUCGAUAGAGAACUGCACCUCUUUUAAGAGGGUAGUCGAAAGGCUCAUCAACAUGGGUGUUGUGAAAUUCGAUGAUGCUCUUGGUGUAGGAAAUCCAUUAUCCAAUCAUACUAAUAAAAGGGUAAACGCAAUAGUCGAGAAUAUGGGGAGGAGGUUUUGAAGAAAAUAGUAGAGAAAUGUCUAAUCAUGCAAGACUUUGAGAGCAAAUCCCGAGAAGCAGGGAACUAUUGUGAGUUCCAUGGAGAGGAGGACCAUGAGAUAGAAAAAUGUAAUGAAUUUAGGGCCCUGGUACAGGCUCUAAUGGACAACAAAAAGCUGGAGUUCUUUGAGUUUACUAAGAAGGAAGACGUAUGCACUUCGGAGGAGGGGUUGAUAGAGAAGGUUUCUGAGGUCAAUCACCUAAUGGUGAUCAUUUCGCGACCGAAAAUUAAUGAAGUUGGAGCAAAAAUUACACCGAGAGUUGUAAUCCAGAGACCCGCGGCUUUUCCGUAUAAGGAUAACAAAAGGGUGCCUUGGAAUUACAAUUGUAAUGUGAUAUAUCCAAGGGAGGAGAGUCUGGUCAGCACGCCAAGUACAAAGGUCGAGCCUGGAAAAAAGAAGUCCGUGAUGAUUGAACAAGGGAAAGAGAGGACAAAACCACUAGUUAAUAAACCAGUAAUUGAAGAUGAAGUUAAAGAAUUUUUGAAGUUCCUAAAAUACAGUAAGUAUAGUGUUGUGGAACAGUUGCACAAGUAGCUGGCAUGCACAUCGGUACUAGCUCUGCUCCAAAACUCGGAGGUUUACUGAAAUGCGUUGAUGAAGGUGUUGAACGAGACCUAUGUUACUGAAGAUAUUUCAGUGAACAAGCUAGACCACCUUGUCAGUAACAUAAGUGCCGAUAACUUCAUCUCCUUCAGUGACGAUGAAAUACCACCAGGGGGCAUGGGAUCCACCAAGGCUUUGCACAUCACCACUCGCUGCAAAGGGUAUACACUGCUGCGGGUAUUAAUUGAUAAUGGGUCAGUGCUGAAUGUUUUGCCCUUGUCCACAUUAAAUAGGUUACCAAUAGACAGCUCUCAUAUGAAGACAUGCCAGAACACAGUAAGGGCAUUUGAUGGCACUGAGAAGAAAGUGAUGGGAAGGAUUGAGGUACCUCUGCUGAUCGGACCAAACACAUACGAGGUAGAUUUCCUUAUGAUGGAUAUUACGCCUUCUUAUAAUUGCUUGUUGGGGAGGCCUUUGAUUCACUCGGCAGGGGUAGUAUCGUCAUUGUUGCACCAAAAUUUAAAGUUGGUGACGGAGGGCCGCUUGAAAACGAUAAAUGCUGAGGAAGACAUUAUUGCAUCCGUUACUAGUAGUGCACCGUAUAUAGAAAAUGAUAAUGAAGCAAUUGAGUGUUCCUUUCAGUCAUUAGAGUUUGUAAAUGCAACUUUCAUCAUUGAAGGGGGCAGGGUCUCAAUGCCAAGAAUAUCUGAGGCUACGAGGAUGAGCUUGCAAUUAACAGUGGGAAAUGGAUCAUUGCUUGGAAGAGGACUUGGAAAGUAUCUUCAUGGACGAGUUGAGGUGCCAGUUUUGGCUGAUAAACAAGAUCGCUUUAGCUUAGGGUAUAGGCCAGAUGCAAAUUAGAAAAGAAAGGUGAUGAAAAGGAGGCAAGAGAGACGAAGAGUCUGAUUGAGUGAGACAGAGGUCAAGUGGGAAUCAAUGACUUUUCCCCAUAUUUCUAAUACAUUUGUGUCAGGAGGAAUUAUCUAUUCUGAGCCGAAGACAACAGGAGAAGGAAUGGUCAAAGAUUUGAUGGGAAGUCUGAACAUCAACAUCAUAUCUGAAGAGAAGGUGAUGGAAAGAGACUUGGCAAGCAUUCGCCUUUAUGAGCCUAAAAGGGUUCUGAACAUGUAACAGCCCGAUUCUGGGCCUAGUCGGAAUAGUGGUUUCGGGACCACAAAUCCGACGAGGGAAAAUAUGGUUAUUAUUAUAUUUUUAUGAUCUACAAUUUCACGGAAAAUUUUCGUAAAAAUUUCGUUCGAAAAUUUCGACGUUUGGGCACUCAAUUUAGUCAAAAGGACUAAAUUGUAAAUAGUGCAAAAGUUGAGUUCUACAUCUUAGAGGUGUCUAAUUGUUAUGAAAUUUUAAAUUGGAGGUCUUUAUGUGGUAAUUAGACCAUUAGUUAGUUGAUGGACAAAAAUAGACAUAAGAAAUGGGUGAAAUAGAUUUUUUUAAAUGGGGGCAUUUUAGUCAUUUGGUUAUUAAAUAGAAUUAAAUGGGAAAAAGAUGGCAAAAUAUGCUCAUCUUCUUCAUGGUGAACGAAAUCAGCAAGGGGGAAGCCAUAUUUAGGGUUUUUAAGCUUUCAAGCUCCAUAGUAAGUGAUUCUAAGCCCCGUUUUUAAUGUUCUUCGUAUUUUUGGAGUCCCGGUAACUUGGUUUAGCUUAUUCUACCAUUAAUUCAUGUUAGGGUUCAUAUUUGGAAAAAUAUCCAUAGGUGAAAUGUGUUUAUUUUGCUGUUUUAUGGUGGAAUAUGAAGCUAGAGAUUAUGUUAAACAACUUUUGCUAAGCAAUUUUAAGCGAAAACGGGUAAAUAGACAUAAUCAAUAAAAAUAAUUAAUAUUCAAAAGUAUGUGUUGGAGUGGGAAUUUGAUGAUGUUUCCAUAGAAGGGAAAAAUGUUCAGCAUGUUAUAAAACUUAAGAAUAAGUGAUGAAGUUUAAUUUCCGAGCUUGGGGACAAAAGUGUAAUUAUGCAAAAGUUUGGGGGCAAAAUUGUAAUUUUCAAAAAGUUGGGUGGUGGAUUAUUUUAAUAAAUGUGGACUUUAAACGAGUUAAAUUUGCUAUUAUAGAUCAAGAAAGACGUGAAGAGUAUAUCAAACGAGGAAAAGAAAAGAUAGUGGAGUAAAGUGCAAAAUUACGAUAUUUUGCACCGAGGUAAGUAAACACGUGACUUAAUGUAUUAUUUUGAUAUUAUUUGAUAUAUGUUGAGAUUUAUUUGGAAUUAAAAUAAAUGUUUGGCAAUAUCCUAAAAAUGUUGUUAAAUCGGGAAAGGUGAUAAAGGGUUGCAAUAUAUGGGUUAUGGGUUGAACACUCGGAAUAAGCCGUAGUAUGUUGUAUAUAAAAGGGGUUGCUGUGUGCUGAUUCCCCGAUUUAUGGGUGGUGCUAUGUGCGUGAUCCACCAUAUCUUUGAAAUGUGAAAGGGGGUUGCUAUGUGCUGAUUCCCCCGAGGGGUUGCUAAGUGCUGAUUCCCCGGUUCAUUGGUGGUGCUAAGUACGAUAUCCACCAUAUCUUUGAAAUGUGAAAGGGGGUUGCUAUGUGCUGAUUCCCCCGAGGGGUUGCUAAGUGCUGAUUCCCCGGUUCAUUGGUGGUGCUAAGUGCGAUAUCCACCAUAUCUUUGAAAUGUGAAAGGGGGUUGCUAUGUGCUGAUUCCCCCGAGGGGUUGCUAAGUGCGAUAUCCAUUGUAUAUUUGAAAUGAAAAGGGGGUUGCUAUGUGCUGAUUCCCCCGAGGGGUUGCUAAGUGAUGAUUCCCCGAUUCAGUGGUAGUGCUAAGUGCGAGAUCCACCAAUAACGGUUAACAUUCCGAGUGUUCAACGAAAAAGUGUGGAAGGUGAAUAUUGCCAUAUGGUGGAAAAUUUUAUGGGGUAAAUAUUGAGUUGGACACUAAAUCGAUCCAUGUAUGAGAUGGGAGAAAAUAUCAAAAACGAAAAAGGAACGAUUUAAUUAUAAACUGUGUUGAACAACAGCAGUUGGGUAACUUUGAAAAAUCACCAUAAAUGGUGGAAAAUUAAUGGGAAGCUGAAUAAUAUAUGAAAUUGAAGCUGGAUGUGUCUGUUUUCAUAUGAAAGAAAUAAAAUAAGCAAAAGAGUUGUAUUUUUGGAGAUAUCUGAAUUUUACUAAAACAGGGCUGGAUUGAUUUCGAGAUCCCCUGUUCUAACUUUGGAAAAUUACCAAAAAUUGUAAAAAAAUAAUUAUGGCAUAAAAUUUAUAUCCCUGGAAUCCUUAUUGAGUCUAUUUUUAUUAGAAACAAGAAAACCCAUUUUUCAAAUUUUGUACAGAGAGUUAAGUAAAUUUUAGUGAGGAAGGGUCAGAACCGUUGGGCAGUGAAACAGGGGAAGGUUUAAUGAAUAAACUGUACUAAUUGGCUGGGUUAAAAAUUCUGAAAUUUUUAUGGUGAAAUGGUAUAUGAGUCUAGUUUUAGGGAAAAUUUACGGAACUCAAUUUGGAGCCCUGUAGAUCCAGAUAAAAAUAAAUUAGCGACUAUGACGCAGAAAAACAGCUUGCUGGAAAUUGCCUAAACAAUAAAGUUAUUCAUGAAUAAGUUUAUAUUUUGGUGUAGUUGUGGGAGUAAUUACUUAUUUAUCAUGUGUUUACUUACUAAGCUAUAUGCUUACUCGAUUUUAUUUUUCUCUUGGUUAUAGUGACUUCCAACAACUCGGAAAUUGGAACGAAGUCAGACAAUCAUCUACACUAUCCUUCACAUUUGGGGUAUUUUACUACUAGUGUUCCGAAAUUUUAUGGCAUGUAUAGACACUUUAUGUAAUGUGGGAUCAUCAUGUAAAUAUAUGUUAUGGUUCCCUUUUAAAUGUAGUGUUUAUUAAUAGUUAAACUAUAUGUGUGUUUAUACAAAUGAAAUUGGUUGGUAUAUUGGAAUGUGUUCUAAAUUUGCAGGAGGUUUAAGCAAAAAUAAGUAGGAAUGCUGUCGAAAAUUUUUAAAAAUUUAGUAAUACCUCAUACUCUGUUCCGGUAAGGAAUACGGGUAAGGGGUGUUACAUUUUAGUGGUAUCAGAGCUACGGUUUAGUCGGUUCUCGGACCAAUAAAAUACGUGUGGAAGUCAGUCUAUACAUGCCAUAAAAUUAUUGUGAUAGUGUGAUGAUUUCUGACAAUUUAAAAUUUUGUUUUAUAUAGUAAAUGGAUCCUGAUCGAAGUGUGGCAGAUGAUGUUGAAACUAACGCGCCGGCUCUCGCGCAAGGGACCGCGCAGGAAGAGAGUAGACAUGAGACACAUGGACAGGAUGAGGCUCGGGAAGCCUUCCUCUGAAUGAUGAGUGAUUGGUAUAUAAAAUAUGUCCGUGUAAAUCCGAAUGUUCCUCCUCCUCCACCCCCUCCUAUUCCUCAACCGGUCCCCGUAACUCCACGGAGUGCCGAAUUGGUGAGAUCAAGUAAGCCACCUGUUGAUAGAAUUCGAAAGCAUGGGGCUGAAGAUUUUAGGGCCAAUGUUGAUGAUGAUCCAGAAAAAGCCGAGUUUUGGCUUGAAAAUACUAUUCGGGUAUUUGAUGAAUUAUCUUGCACCCCUGAAGAAUGUUUGAAAUGUGCUGUGUCUUUAUUGAAGGAUUCGACAUAUCGUUGGUGGAAAACAUUGAUAUCGGUGGUUCCAAAAGAAAGAGUUACUUGGGACUUCUUUCAGGAAGAAUUUAGAAAGAAAUAUGUAAGCCAACGAUUUAUUGAUCAAAAACGCAAAGAGUUUCUCGGGUUGAAACAGGGCCGAAUGUCUGUAGCAGAAUAUGAACGGGAGUUUGUUCGGCUUAGUAAAUAUGCCCAGGAAUGUGUGCCUACGGAGGCUAUUAUGUGUAAAAGAUUUGAAGAGGGGCUAAAUGAAGACAUCAGAUUGCAUGUUGGGAUUUUAGAGUUAAAAGAAUUUGUGGUGUUAGUUGAUCGGGCCUGUAAAGCUGAAGAACUGAGUAGAGAAAAGAGAAGGGCAGAGAUGGAAUCUCGAGAUGUAAGGAAGAGGACAAUGGGCAGAACAUUUCAAUCUCAUUCGAAGAAGUUUAAAGGGAUGGAUCCACGACCAACUGGUUCAGUUGGGUAUUCACGCAGAGACCGAGGGAGGUCGUAUUCUGGAGCUACAACUCGAGCUACCUCUGUAGCAAGUGUGGGCAAUGUAGGAAACACCCGGCCUGAAUGUCAACAGUGUGGCAGGCGACAUAUUGGUGAGAGUUGGGGAUUUAAACGAGCUUGUUUCAGGUGUGGUUCCCAAGAGCAUUAUGUAAGAGAUUGCCCUGAGAGAAGAGAGGAAGAAAAUUUGCCAAGAGCUGGAUCGGGUGAUAUUGUUAGUAGAGGGAGACCGCCGAGAAAUGUGGGAAGCAAAGUCAGUGGUAAAAGUGUGAUGAAAGAUGCAGCUAGAGGAUCAGAAAUUAGAGCGCCUGCCAGGACUUAUGCCAUACGUGCUCGAGAGGAUGCCUCAUCUCCCGAUGUGAUUACUGGUACAUUUUCUCUUCAUGAUAUAGAUGUUAUUACUUUGAUUGAUCCCGGCUCUACUCAUUCAUAUGUAUGCAUGAAAUUGGUAUCUAGUAAGAAAUUGCCUGUUGAAAACACUGAAUAUGUAGUUAAAGUAUCAAAUCCAUUAGGCAAGUAUGUCUUAGUUGAUAAGAUUUGCAAGAAUUGCCCCCUGAUGAUUCAAGGUCACUGUUUCCUGGCUAAUUUGAUGUUGUUACCAUUUGAUGAGUUCGAUGUUAUUUUGGGGAUGGAUUGGUUGAUAUUGCAUGAUGCCAAGGUGAAUUGUAGACAGAAAAUUCUUGAAUUAAAGUGUGAAAAUGGUGAAAUUCUCCGGAUUGAAACAGAGGAGUCGAAUAAGUUGCCUAUGGUGAUUUCGCACAUGUCUGCUCAGAAAUACUUGAGAAAGGAAUGUGAAGUUUAUCUUGCUUAUGUGUUGAAUACUGAUAUAACUGGGUCGAAGCUUGAAUCAGUGCCGGUAGUCUGUGAAUUUCCAGAUGUAUUUCCAGAGGAAUUGCCUGGGUUACCUCCGAUUAGAGAAGUUGAGUUUUCUAUUGAUCUGUUACCUGGUACUGCACCGAUUUCUAUUGCACCGUAUCGAAUGGCUCCGACUGAGUUGAAGGAAUUAAAAGCUCAGUUACAAGAGUUGACAGAUAAAGGAUUUGUGAGACCGAGUUUUUCUCCUUGGGGUGCUCCUGUGUUAUUUGUGAAAAAGAAGGACGGCUCUAUGAGACUUUGUAUUGACUAUCGUCAGCUCAAUAAGGUGACCAUAAAGAACAAGUAUCCUUUGCCGAGAAUUGAUGAUUUGUUUGAUCAAUUAAAAGGGGCAACAGUGUUCUCCAAGAUCGAUCUGAGGUCUGGUUACUAUCUGUUGAGAGUUAAAGAGUCUGAUGUGCCGAAAACCGCCUUCAGAACGAGAUGAUAUUUUAAUCUAUUCUCGGGAUGAAUCGGAACAUGCAGAACAUUUGAGAACUGUGUUGCAGAUUCUGAGAGAAAAGAAAUUGUAUGCUAAAUUCAGCAAAAGUGAGUUUUGGCUUCGUGAGGUUGGAUUCUUGGGACAUAUAGUUUCAAGUGAAGGUAUUCGGGUUGAUCCAAGCAAAAUUUCAGCAAUUGUUGAUUGGGAGCCACCAAAGAAUGUGACUGAAGUUAGAAGCUUCCUGGGCUUAGCUGGGUAUUACAGACGGUUUGUCAAGGGAUUCUCGAUGAUUGCUUCUCCUAUGACUAAGUUAUUGCAGAAGAAUGUCAAGUUUGAAUGGACCGAUAAAUGUCAACAGAGUUUUGAAAAGUUGAAGGCAUUAUUGACUGAGGCGCCAGUGUUGGUGCAACCUGAGUCCGGGAAGGAGUUUGUAAUUUACAGUGAUGCAUCGUUGAAUGGCCUUGGGUGUGUGUUAAUGCAAGAGGGCAAAGUAAUAGCUUAUGCUUCGAGACAGUUGAAACCGCAUGAGAAGAAUUAUCCGACGCAUGAUUUAGAAUUGGCUGCCAUUGUUUUUGCUUUAAAAAUUUGGCGUUAUUAUUUGUAUGGUGAAAAGUGCCGAAUCUUCACUGAUCAUAAGAGUUUGAAAUAUUUGAUGAGUCAAAAAGACUUGAAUUUGCGGCAACGAAGAUGGCUCGAGCUAAUCAAAGACUAUGAGCUAGUGAUUGAUUAUCACCCCGGGAAAGCUAAUGUGGUUGCUGAUGCCUUGAGCAGAAAAUCUUUAUUUUCUUUGAGAGCUAUGGGUACGAUGUUAACUUUAUCUGAUGAUGGCUCAAUGUUGGUUGAAUUGAGAGCUAGACCGUUAUUUCUUCAGCAAAUUCGGGAAUCUCAAAAGAAUGACAGUAAAUUGCAAGCCAAGAGAGCUCAGUGUGAAGCAGGUGUUGACUCAGAUUUUCAAAUUGGUUCAAAUGAUUGCCUGAUGUUCAGGGACAGAAUAUGUGUACCGAGAAAUGAUGAGCUAAUUCGGACUAUUUUAGGUGAGGCACACAGUGGUGAUUUAUCAGUCCAUCCGGGUAGUGUGAAAAUGUACAAUGAUUUGAGGAAGUUGUAUUGGUGGCCGGGCAUGAAAAAGGAUAUCUCGGAAUUUGUAACAAAAUGUUUAAUCUGUCAACAAGUGAAGGCUGAGCAUCAAGUGCCAUCGGGUUUACUUCAACCGAUAAUGAUUCCAGAAUGGAAGUGGGACAGUAUCACGAUGGAUUUCGUGACAGGAUUGCCUUUAACUCCAAAGAAGAAAGAUGCUAUUUGGGUAAUUGUGGAUAGAUUGACAAAGUCAGCCCAUUUUAUUCCGAUACGCAUUGAUUAUUCACUUGACAGGUUGGCUGAAUUAUAUGUUGCUGAAAUAGUGAGACUACAUGGGGUGCCUAAAUCUAUUAUAUCGGAUAGAGAUCCGAGAUUUACUUCGAGGUUUUGGAUAAAGUUACAGGAAGCUUUGGGUACGAAAUUGAAUUUCAGUACUGCAUUUCAUCCGCAAACUGACGGACAAUCAGAAAGGGUGAUUCAAGUUCUUGAAGACAUGCUCCGGUGUUGUAUUUUAGAAAUGAAGGACAGCUGGGAGAAAUAUCUACCACUGGUUGAAUUUGCUUAUAAUAAUAGUUAUCAGUCAAGUAUACAAAUGGCACCGUAUGAAGCAUUAUAUGGGCGUAAAUGUAGAACCCCUUUAUAUUGGACUGAACUCGGUGAGAAUCGGAUUCAUGGAGUCGACCUGGUGAAAGAAACUGAAGAAAAGGUGAAAAUAAUCCGUGAUUGCCUAAAAGCUGCCUCAGAUCGGCAAAAGUCGUAUGCGGAUUUAAAGAGAAAAGAAAUUGAGUUUCAAGUGGGUGAUAAAGUGUUCUUGAAAGUAUCCCCAUGGAAGAAGAUUCUGAGAUUUGGUCGUAAAGGCAAACUAAGUCCACGUUUUAUUGGACCAUAUGAAGUUACCGAGAGAGUUGGCCCUGUAGCAUAUCGGUUAGCUUUACCGCCAGAGUUGGAAAAGAUACAUAAUGUAUUUCAUGUGUCGAUGUUGCGACGUUAUCGUUCGGAUCCUUCACAUAUAGUUUCUUCUACAGAGAUUGAGGUUCGACCAGAUAUGACUUAUGAAGAAGAACCCAUAAAGAUUUUGGCUCGGGAGGUCAAACAGUUAAGAAAUAAAAGUGUAGCCUUAGUGAAAGUGUUGUGGCAAAAACAUGGAAUGGAAGAGGCUACGUGGGAACCGGAGGAAAUUAUGAGGAAACAGUACCCAAACCUCUUUUCCGGUAAGAUUUUCGGGGACGAAAAUCCCUAAGGGGGGGAGAGUUGUAACAGCCCGAUUCUGGGCCUAGUCGGAAUAGUGGUUUCGGGACCACAAAUCCGACGAGGGAAAAUAUGGUUAUUAUUAUAUUUUUAUGAUCUACAAUUUCACGGAAAAUUUUCGUAAAAAUUUCGUUCGAAAAUUUCGACGUUUGGGCACUCAAUUUAGUCAAAAGGACUAAAUUGUAAAUAGUGCAAAAGUUGAGUUCUACAUCUUAGAGGUGUCUAAUUGUUAUGAAAUUUUAAAUUGGAGGUCUUUAUGUGGUAAUUAGACCAUUAGUUAGUUGAUGGACAAAAAUAGACAUAAGAAAUGGGUGAAAUAGAUUUUUUUAAAUGGGGGCAUUUUAGUCAUUUGGUUAUUAAAUAGAAUUAAAUGGGAAAAAGAUGGCAAAAUAUGCUCAUCUUCUUCAUGGUGAACGAAAUCAGCAAGGGGGAAGCCAUAUUUAGGGUUUUUAAGCUUUCAAGCUCCAUAGUAAGUGAUUCUAAGCCCCGUUUUUAAUGUUCUUCGUAUUUUUGGAGUCCCGGUAACUUGGUUUAGCUUAUUCUACCAUUAAUUCAUGUUAGGGUUCAUAUUUGGAAAAAUAUCCAUAGGUGAAAUGUGUUUAUUUUGCUGUUUUAUGGUGGAAUAUGAAGCUAGAGAUUAUGUUAAACAACUUUUGCUAAGCAAUUUUAAGCGAAAACGGGUAAAUAGACAUAAUCAAUAAAAAUAAUUAAUAUUCAAAAGUAUGUGUUGGAGUGGGAAUUUGAUGUUUCCAUAGAAGGGAAAAAUGUUCAGCAUGUUAUAAAACUUAAGAAUAAGUGAUGAAGUUUAAUUUCCGAGCUUGGGGACAAAAGUGUAAUUAUGCAAAAGUUUGGGGGCAAAAUUGUAAUUUUCAAAAAGUUGGGUGGUGGAUUAUUUUAAUAAAUGUGGACUUUAAACGAGUUAAAUUUGCUAUUAUAGAUCAAGAAAGACGUGAAGAGUAUAUCAAACGAGGAAAAGAAAAGAUAGUGGAGUAAAGUGCAAAAUUACGAUAUUUUGCACCGAGGUAAGUAAACACGUGACUUAAUGUAUUAUUUUGAUAUUAUUUGAUAUAUGUUGAGAUUUAUUUGGAAUUAAAAUAAAUGUUUGGCAAUAUCCUAAAAAUGUUGUUAAAUCGGGAAAGGUGAUAAAGGGUUGCAAUAUAUGGGUUAUGGGUUGAACACUCGGAAUAAGCCGUAGCAUGUUGUAUAUAAAAGGGGUUGCUGUGUGCUGAUUCCCCGAUUUAUGGGUGGUGCUAUGUGCGUGAUCCACCAUAUCUUUGAAAUGUGAAAGGGGGUUGCUAUGUGCUGAUUCCCCCGAGGGGUUGCUAAGUGCUGAUUCCCCGGUUCAUUGGUGGUGCUAAGUACGAUAUCCACCAUAUCUUUGAAAUGUGAAAGGGGGUUGCUAUGUGCUGAUUCCCCCGAGGGGUUGCUAAGUGCUGAUUCCCCGGUUCAUUGGUGGUGCUAAGUGCGAUAUCCACCAUAUCUUUGAAAUGUGAAAGGGGGUUGCUAUGUGCUGAUUCCCCCGAGGGGUUGCUAAGUGCGAUAUCCAUUGUAUAUUUGAAAUGAAAAGGGGGUUGCUAUGUGCUGAUUCCCCCGAGGGGUUGCUAAGUGAUGAUUCCCCGAUUCAGUGGUAGUGCUAAGUGCGAGAUCCACCAAUAACGGUUAACAUUCCGAGUGUUCAACGAAAAAGUGUGGAAGGUGAAUAUUGCCAUAUGGUGGAAAAUUUUAUGGGGUAAAUAUUGAGUUGGACACUAAAUCGAUCCAUGUAUGAGAUGGGAGAAAAUAUCAAAAACGAAAAAGGAACGAUUUAAUUAUAAACUGUGUUGAACAACAGUAGUUGGGUAACUUUGAAAAAUCACCAUAAAUGGUGGAAAAUUAAUGGGAAGCUGAAUAAUAUAUGAAAUUGAAGCUGGAUGUGUCUGUUUUCAUAUGAAAGAAAUAAAAUAAGCAAAAGAGUUGUAUUUUUGGAGAUAUCUGAAUUUUACUAAAACAGGGCUGGAUUGAUUUCGAGAUCCCCUGUUCUAACUUUGGAAAAUUACCAAAAAUUGUAAAAAAAUAAUUAUGGCAUAAAAUUUAUAUCCCUGGAAUCCUUAUUGAGUCUAUUUUUAUUAGAAACAAGAAAACCCAUUUUUCAAAUUUUGUACAGAGAGUUAAGUAAAUUUUAGUGAGGAAGGGUCAGAACCGUUGGGCAGUGAAACAGGGGAAGGUUUAAUGAAUAAACUGUACUAAUUGGCUGGGUUAAAAAUUCUGAAAUUUUUAUGGUGAAAUGGUAUAUGAGUCUAGUUUUAGGGAAAAUUUACGGAACUCAAUUUGGAGCCCUGUAGAUCCAGAUAAAAAUAAAUUAGCGACUAUGACGCAGAAAAACAGCUUGCUGGAAAUUGCCUAAACAAUAAAGUUAUUCAUGAAUAAGUUUAUAUUUUGGUGUAGUUGUGGGAGUAAUUACUUAUUUAUCAUGUGUUUACUUACUAAGCUAUAUGCUUACUCGAUUUUAUUUUUCUCUUGGUUAUAGUGACUUCCAACAACUCGGAAAUUGGAACGAAGUCAGACAAUCAUCUACACUAUCCUUCACAUUUGGGGUAUUUUACUACUAGUGUUCCGAAAUUUUAUGGCAUGUAUAGACACUUUAUGUAAUGUGGGAUCAUCAUGUAAAUAUAUGUUAUGGUUCCCUUUUAAAUGUAGUGUUUAUUAAUAGUUAAACUAUAUGUGUGUUUAUACAAAUGAAAUUGGUUGGUAUAUUGGAAUGUGUUCUAAAUUUGCAGGAGGUUUAAGCAAAAAUAAGUAGGAAUGCUGUCGAAAAUUUUUAAAAAUUUAGUAAUACCUCAUACUCUGUUCCGGUAAGGAAUACGGGUAAGGGGUGUUACAGAACAACUAGACUGCGGAGAAAAUUCCUGUAGUUUUUAGUGCAAAUACAGAGUAAUGUUCAAAACACACUUGUUAUUUUAAAGCCUAGAAGUGAUAAGAAUCUUUUGAGAAAUAGGCUCGUGUUCAAAACAUCUUUAUUUCAAUACAAUUACACUUUUAUGUCAUAUUCUGAGUAAAAUUUCUUUUAUCUUAAGCCAAUAUUCUUUUGCAUUUCAUAUUUAAUCAUGCCAUACAAAUACACUAUUCUUAGAUUCUUUUAUUUUUUCUUGGCUAUCCUUUCAUGCCAACAAUAGGUCUCUAGAUAUUAAUGACAUGAUUGACGCUGUUAUGGGCUCAGAGUUCCCUUUUGAGCGAGACAUGUUUUUGGAAGGAUCUCAGGAUUUUGAAGAUGAUGAAGACUGUAGCUUACCUUCAGAUUAGUUAAGGAUGGUAGAAUAAGAAGAGAAACAGAUUCUACCCCAUAAAGAGACAAUCGAGAGUGUGACCUUAGAAGAGGGGAAAGAGGUGAACAUUGGAACUUGUAUAACUGAGGAAACAAGACGGGACCUCAUUGAUUUACUACAAGAGUUCAAAGAUAUCUUCGCGUGGUCAUAUCAAGACAUGCCUGGGCUAAGUGGUGAUAUUAUGGUGCAUCGCAUCCCCUAAAAGAAGAGUGCAAGCCUAUUCAGCAGAGGCUUCGGAGGAUAAGACCCGAUGUUGUAGUAAAAAUAAGAGAAUAGGUCAGGAAGCAAUUUGAUACCGGGUUCUUGCAAGUGGUGAAUUACUCAGAAUAGGUAGCCAAUGUCGUCCCUAUCCCUAAUAAGGAUGGAAAAGUGUGGAUGUGCAUGGAUUACAGAGGCUUAAAUAAGGCUAGCCCAAAGGACAACUUCCCACUACCUCACAUCAACACUUUGGUGGAUAACACGGCAGGUUACUCACUGUUCUCCUUCAUAGAUGGUUUCUCUGGGUACAAUCAGAUAAUGAUACAUCCUGAAGACAUGGAAAAAAACCACAUUCAUAACCUUAUGGGGGACUUUUUGCUAUAGGGUGAUGCCAUUCAGGUUGAAGAAUGUUGGAGCAAUAUAUCAAAGAGCCAUGGUAACCUUGUCUCACGACAUGAUGCACAAGGAAAUUGAGGUCUAUGUCGAUGAUAUGAUCGCAAAAUCCUGAACAGAAAAGGAACAUAUGCAGGUUUUGAGGAAAUUGUUCCUUAGGUUGAGGAAGUUUCAACUAAAGCUCAAUCCAACGAAAUGUACUUUUGGAGCCAAGUCAGGGAAGCUACUUGGUUUUAUAGUCAGCAAAAAGGGAAUUGAGGUCGACCCCGGCAAAGUUAAGGCUAUACAAAAAUUACCUCCACCGCGCACUCAGAAGGAAGUUCGAGGUUUCCUUGGAAGACUAAAUUAUAUCGCCCAAAUUCAUUUCACAGCUAACUGAGAAAUGUGACCCCAUAUUUCGUCUUCUCAAGAAACACAACCCAGGUGUGUGGGAUGAUAAGUGCCAGAAAACCUUUGACAAGGUUAAACAGUAUUUGUCUAAUCUCCCGGUGCUAAUGCCACCUAGUCUUGGUAGGCCAUUGAUACUGUAUUUGAUAGUGUUUGACAAUUCAAUGUGAUGUGUGCUCGAUCAACAUGAUGAGACAGAAAAGAAAGAAAGGGCGAUAUAUUACCUCAGUAAGAAAUUCACUGAGUGUGAAAUGAGAUACUUGUCAAUUGAGAAAUUAUGUUGUGCCUUGGUUUGGACUACUCGGAGAUUGAGGCAGUACAUGUUAUACCAUACGACUUGGUUAAUCUCAAAAUUGGACCCUUUAAAGUAUAUGAUGGAGUCAACUGCUUUGAGUGGAAGGAUGGCCCGAUGACAAAUUCUGCUUUCCGAAUUCGACAUAGUUUAUAUGAGUCAAAAGGCAGUGAAAAAGAGUGCAAUAGCAGAUUUUCUAGCCAGCAGAGCUUUGGAAGAUUAUGAGCCUUUGAACUUUGAUUUCCCAAAUGAAGAUCUAAUGUAUGUCGCAACUACUGAAGAUGACACCUUAGAAGAUCAUCCGUGGAAACUGAAUUUUGACGGAGCAUCAAAUACCAUUGGUAAUGAAAUUGGGGCAGUCUUGAUAUCCCCAGGUGGAGAUCAUUAUCCGUUCACUUGCAAAUUGGAUUUUGAUUGCACAAAUAAUAUGGCAAAGUACGAAGUAUGUAUCAUGGGAAUCCGUGCAGCCAUCGAACGUAAAAUUAGGGUGUUAGAGUUGUAUGGGGAUUCUGCACUGGUGAUCUAUCAGCUCAAAGGUGAGUGGGAAACAAGAGACCCAAAGUUGAUUAACUAUAAAGAGAUAAUUCGGGAUCUAAUUAAGGUGUUUGAUGAUAUCACUUUCGAUUAUCUCCCGCGAGAUGAAAACCAGAUGGCAAAUGCCUUAGCUACGUUAGCUUCUAUGAUCAGAGUAAAUGGACGAGAGAAUAUGAAGCUGAUCCAUAUGAGUAUUUAUGAGGCUCCAGCUCAUUGUUGCAAUAUAGAUGACAAAGAGGAAAGAGAUGAUUAUCCUUGGUAUCAUAAUAUUUUACGAUAUGUGAAGAAUCGUGAAUACCCUGACCAGGCAACUGAAAAUGAUAAGAGGACAUUGAGAAGGCUAACCAGUGACUCUGUCUUAGAUGGGGAAAUCCUGUAUAAAAUGAGGAAAUGUAACACCCCGUACCCGAGUCCGUCGCCGGAGUCAGACACGAGGGGUUUGCAGACUUAAAUCACUUCUUUGCACAAUCCAUUUUAAAUUUUCCAGGCAAGCUGGUUAACUGCGUCACUGUCACCUUAAAAAUCAUAUCUUGAGUUUCAAAACUCUAAAAUAAGCUUCCUGAUUUUUCCCUGAAACUAGACUCAUAUAGGCAUCUACAAAUUUUUUUCUAGAAUUUUUGGUCUGGCAAAUUAGUACAGUUUAUUAGUCAAAGUCUCCCCUGUUACAGGGAUCGACUACACUGACCUUCAUGCAUUACGAUUUGGAUAUCUCCCUUCACAGAGCUUCAAUACUGAUACCGUUUGUUUCUAUAGAAACUAGACUCAGAGAGGAAUCUAUACAUAUAUGGCAUGACUCCUAAUUAUCUCUGGUUAAUUUAUAAUGAAUUUCCAAAGUCGGAACAGGGAAUCCAGAAACCGUUCUGGCCCUGUCUCACGAGAACCUGAAUAUCUCUUAACAUACUGUCCAUAUGAUCGUUUUGUUACUUUUCUAUGAAAAUAGAUUCAUCAAGGUUCGUUUACAUAAUUUAUUAACUAUUUAAUUCCAUUCCUACUAUUUUUAGUGAUUUUCCAAAUCUACAUCACUGCUGCUGUCAGCAUCUGCCUUUAAGGUAGACUUUACCUAUUUCAUAGUUUCCAUGAUUCAACUAGCCCUUUUAGCAUAAAUAGCACAAAUUAUGAUAGUGAUUAACCAUUCCCAUGGCCAAUCCUUGUUAAGCAUAUCCACACCUCUCAAUAACCAUAUCCAUACCAAAUGAUUAUAACAUUAUGCUCAAACAUAUAUAAGCCAUUUUCGCAUGGCUAUCCAAAAUUAUACAAAUCCAAAGGGUCCAUGACCCACAACAAAAAGGGUAGUCCUAUACAUGCCAUACCCAGAGUUCAAUUAAAAGAGUACCAAAAGGGCUUUGAUAGUGUGGAUGACUUUGACUUCGAUGAUCCCGAAUCCGAUAUCUAACGAACAAAAUCUAUAAAACAGAGAGCCAAAGCAACGAGGUAAGCAUUUUAAAGCUUAGUAAGUUUCAAGUAAUGAAAUCGGCUUUGACUAAAGUAUUACAUUCACAUAGCUAAAUGAAUCACUUUAUUAAUACACAUUCUCAUAAACAUACUUACUUCACACUUCAUCAACAUAUACACACAAGGUAUUAACCUAUCUAAAAGCCGAAAGUUCGUUAGUCGAUUGAACGAAUACUAUUUAAAACGAAUCGACUUUUCCGAUGCACACGCAAACAUACCUUAUCGUUUGGGUUUUUCGAGCGUAUUAAUUGAAUUUAUUACAGCACAACACGCUCACCUUCGAACCCAAGUUUCUUCGAAAUUUAGCCGGAUAUAACCACAAGCACAAUUGCCUUCGGGUCUUAACCCGGGUAUAGCAACUCGCACAAAUGCCUUCGGGUCUUAGCCCGGAUAAAAUCACUAGCACAAUUGCCUUCGGGUCUUAACCCGGGUAUAGCAACUCACAUAAAUGCCUUCGGGUCUUAGCCCGGAUAUAUCAACUCGCACAAAUGCCUUCGGGUCUUAGCCCGGAUAAAAUCACUAGCAUAAAUGCCUUCGGGACUUAGCCCGGAUAUCAUUCAAAUGUUCAUGCACACAUAUAUCAAUAAUCAUGACACAUCCAUAUUUCAUUUUCGUUACUAAGGCUCAAACACAAAACAUUUAUUAAACCUUUCCAAUUUCGGCUCAAUAGCCACACACAAAGAGCAUGAUUUCAAUUGGCUUUAUAACAUAGUCUCUAUGCACAUUCGGCUAUCCGUCAUAGUAUGACUAAUCAUUUCAAUAUAAUUCAAGUAGGGUCAUUACUCGAAGACUUACCUCGGAUGUUGUCGAACGGUUUCGACGGCUAUUCGACCACUUUUUCCUUCCCUUUAUCGGAUUUAGUUCCCCUUUGCUCUUGAGCUUAAUUCAAACAAAUUUAACUCAUUAAAGUCUCAUUUUGCUAGCUUAUGGCCGAAUAUGACAAGGAGUUUGAUAGGUCAUAUGGCCACCUUUUAGCUCAAAUACACAAUGGUCAUACGCAUUUUUAAUCACAUCAAGCAAUUUAAUACAAUUCAUUCGAACAUCAAAAGAGAAGCUCAAGGUACUUAGCCCAUAUAUACAUUAGACAUUAGAGUCACAUAUGUACGAAAUUACGAAUCGAAUUCAACAUACUAGCUAAUAUUUCCCUUAGCCGAAUUUUCUAAGUCAAGAUAAAGCCAUCAAUAUGCUUACCUAUGGCCGAACAUACACAUCAACUUAUGUACUCAUUCAUGUGGCCGAACAUACAUGUCUAUGUUGAGGCCGAUUGUAACACUCAAUACAUUCUACAAGUAUGGUCACUUGUAUUGACUAAACACCAUUUUGUUUCAAGUUCAAAACUUGGCCCAUACACAUAUAUUCACUAGUAAAGCAUCCUCUCCCUUUCCAUCAAUUCAACACAUGCAUUACUCAUUAAUAUACAAAAAUUAUAUUCGGCCUUAGCACACAACUUGCUAGCCGAUUCUUCUCCAUCUAGCAACUAAUGCACAUAUGUGCUCAUUUGUUAGACUCUACUUCAUCUAACAACAACCAUAUUUUCCCUUCUACUUCCUACCAUGGCCAAAUGCAUCACAACACCAUACCAUUUCAAUUUUUGGUCAUGGUUAAACAAAGAACUUAAUGUCUCACUCAAAAAUGCUAAAAAGAAGAUUCAAGAAUCAUCAAUCCACCAUUACAUGCACCAUUACAAAGCUUCACUUUUAGCAUGCAAAUGAUAUCAACACCAAUCCACCUUGGCCGAAUAUCAUCUCCAUGACAUAGUAAAGAUUUGAACCAUGGGCUAUUUAGAACUCAAGCUAACUACUAAAACAUGCAUGCAUCUCAUGGAACAUCAUCAAACAUACCUUAGUCUAUCAAACCACCAUAGCCGAUUUCCUCAAAGCUCUUUUUCCUUCUUUUUCUUUCUCCUAUUCGGCCAAGAACAACAUGAGAGCUUUUCUCUUCUUUUUUUUUUUGGUCAUGCAUGAGAAUGAUGAACACAUUUUUUUUUCUUUGUUUUCUUCCUUCAAUUUCUUAUUAGUUUAUUGCCCAUGCUUCUUAUUUUAUUCUUCCAUUAACACAACAUGUUUCAUGACAUGUUUUGCCCAUCAUCCCUUGUCAUGGCCGGCCACUAGUACUUAAAUGGGGGGAAAUUGACAUGCAAGUCCACCCCUUUGAUUACAUGUACUAUUAGGCCACUUGCAUUUGCCUAGCACAUUUCUAAAUUUUCUCACAUAAGUCCUAUCAACUAAAUUCACAUGCAAUUAACUAAAUCGAAGCUUAAAACUUUCACACAUUUAUAUUCACAUAUUUUAGGCAAUAAUUAUCACAUUCAAAUAAUUUGGUGACUCAGUCUAGCGGCCUCGAGACCGCUUUUCGACUAGGGUCACUUUAGGGCUGUCACAGGAAAGAUCAGGUGCUGUUAAGAUGUGUUGAUGUUGUACAAGCUAAGAAAAUCCUGGAAGAAGUCCAUGAAGGUGUCUGCGGGACGCAUGCCAAUGGGUUUACAAUGGCCAGGCAAAUCAUGACAUUCGGGUACUACUGGUCCACAAUGGAAGGAGAUUGCAUCAGCUAUGCCAAGAAAUGCCAUAAAUGCCAAAUUUAUAGUGACAAGAUCCACGUGUCUCAUUCACCCCUUCAUGUCAUGACUUCUCCGUGGCCUUUCUCAAUGUGGGGCAUGGACGUCAUUAGGCAGAUUUCACCGAAGGCUUCUAAUGGACAUCGAUUCAUCUUUUUAGUCAUUAAUUACUUCACCAAGUGGGUAGAGGCUGCUUCAUAUGCCAACGUCACAAAUUCGACAGUCAGCAAGUUCUUGAAGAAGGAGAUCAUAUGUCAAUAUGGCAUGCCAGAAAGGAUCAUAUCUAACAACGCAUUGAAUUUGAAUAACAGUGUGAUAGUAGAGGUCUACAGGCAAUUCAAAAUUAAACACCACAACUCAUCACCAUAUUACCCGAAAAUGAAUGGUGCGGUUGAGGCCGCUAAUAAGAAUAUCAAAAAGAUCGUAGGGAAAAUAACUGAGACCUACAAGGAUUGGCAUGAAAAGUUACCAUUUGCUCUUUAUGCCUAUUGAACGUCUGUCAAAACUUCUACCAGGGCAACGCCUUACUCGUUGGUCUAUGGGAUGGAGGCAGUUUUGCCUAUUGAAGUUGAAAUUCCUUCUCUCCAAGUUUUAUCAGAGUUGAAGCUAGACGAAGCUGAAUGGAUUCAGUCCCGGUAUGAUCAGCUGAACUUGAUUGAAGAAAAGAGGCUGAGGGUUAUCUGUUAUGGGAAAAUGUACAAAAAGCGAAUGAUGAGAGCUUACAACAAAAAGGUUCGCCCCAGAGUAUUCUAUGAGGGGGACUUGGUAUUGAAGCAGAUCCUUCCUAUGCAAAAAAAUUUCAGAGGGAAAUGGAUGCCAAUCUGGGAAGGACCUUACGUGGUAAAGAAGGCUUUUUCUAGAGGAGCACUGAUAUUAACUAAGAUGGAUGGUAGGAGCCUGCCUAACCCAAUAAAUGCGGAUUCAGUCAAGAAAUACUUCACUUAAGAGGUGAAAACCCGAAAAGGGCACCUAAAAAAAACAAAGAAGAAAAAAAAUAAGAAGAGGUCAAGGUGAAAACCCGCAAAGGGCGCCUUAAGACCAAAAGGGUUUUGAAUUGAAAACCCAAAAAGGGCAACUCAAAUUUUGACUAAGGAUGGGGUAGGUGGUAGUCUUGCUAUGCUAGAAUUAAUGAAGAAGAAGUACGCAUGUCUUGGGGCAUCGACAGAGUACGUUAGAUCUCCUAGGCACAUAAUAAGCUCAAAAUAGUCCUCGUGGAAUUUAUACGGAGGAGCUUAGGCUACGAUAUCUAGGGCGUUCAUUUUUUUCCCUUUUACCUAUUUUUGUACUCUGGCAAUUUUUGCUUCCCUUGAUUAAUCGAUUCUUCUUGAAUCUUGUUCCUAAUAAAUUUCAAUUUUGUCUAUCUUUAUCUUUAUGUUCGAGCCCUUUUAUUGAAAUAACGGUUAAUGGACUAAUAAUACUUUUACAAAGAGGUUUUGUAUAUUACUCUAGAGGUUUCUAAAUGGUACAAGAACCUGAAACAGGACUUUUGAUUAGAGCUUACCCAACUUUGGGGUGGAAUAUUUGUGUUCAAAUUGGGAUUAUCUCUUCAGAUUUUCAGUCAAAGAUAUUGAUUGAAUAAAGCAGGAUAUUGUGUCAACCAAAGCAUUAGAGGGGAUCAUGAUAUUCCUCAUUAAUGUAAUGUCGAGCGUACACAUCUGGUCAUGGUGCCCGGUGAGUGGGGUAAUAGACUGAAUUGAUGGAAGAGGGGGUUUUGAAGAUGGUAUAAACCUUAGGUUUUAGAAGUACAAUGAAACAUACCCUGAAGUUGCAACGGGGCAAACUAGUUGAGCAAAAUGAGUUGUUUCUAUAGGUUUUGUUGAGAAAUACUGGUCAAGCAAGAAGGCAGCAUAAUACGAUGGUGAUAAAACUCUGAUGAAUAACAAGUGAUGACACUUAAAGCUUUAAAAGAAAAAGGAAAUCAUUUUCAUUUCUACAUUCAUAUCAUUUAUAACACAUUUGGUUAGGUGCAUCUGAUUCAUUUCGGUCAUAGCAUUCUAAUCAUUUGGCAUGAACAUAGACAUGAAACCGAGUCUACAGGGCAUGUUCCCCAAAGGACAGUGUAGCGAUAUCGGUGAAAAUUACAGAUCUUAUCUGCAUGUAUCGGCUAUGGAGCAGAUCGAAAAUGGCAAGUCUUAUCUCCAUGUAUCGGCUAUGGAGUAGAUUUUAGCCACCAGCCUUAUCUCUCUAAGGUAGCAAGGGAGCAAGUUGAAGAUACAGGUCUUAUCUUCCUGAAGUUGCAGGAAGCAGACUGAAAGUUACAGAUCUUAUCUACAUGUAUCGGUUAUGGAGUAGACUUUAGCCACCAACCUUAUCUCUCUGAGGUAACAAGAGAGCAGGUUGAAGAUACAAGUCUUAUCUUCCUGUAGUUGCAGGAAGCAGAUUGAAAAUUACAGAUCUUAUCUCCAUGUAUCGACUAUGGAAUAGAUCAAAAAUGGCGAGUCUUAUCUCCAUGUAUUGGCUAUGGAGCAGAUUUUAGCCACCAUCCUUAUCACUGUGAGGUAGCAAGAGAGCGGGUUAAAGGUGCAGGUCUUAUCUUCCUAAAGUUGCAGGAAGCAGACUGAAAAUUACAGAUCUUAUCUCCAUGUGUCGGCUAUGGAGCAAAUCAAAAAUGGCGAGUCUUAUCCCCAUGUAUCGGCUAUGGAGCAGAUUUAAGCCAUCAACCUUAUCUUCCUAAAGUUGCAGUGGAGCAGGUUGAAGUCACAAACAGUAUCUUCCUAAAGUUGCUGAAAGACUACUUGAAGAAGGACAGUCGAAGAUUUGGUAAGACCGGGAAAAAUUGGUCCUUUUAAGGUCUUUGCUCCGUUCUCGUUACACAACAACGGGCAAAGAGGAGCAGCUGUAAGACCCAAAUUUGGCCCGGGCCUAUAUACAUACAAUAGACAAAAGACAACAGUCCGAACCUAAGUUACAGCAGGCCCAAUUCAUAAAAACAAAGACUUAGGUCCAAAAAUAAAGGCUCGAUGGCCCAAAGUUUUGGGGUUUUUGGGAAACCCUGGAUCUCCAUGCACCACACGAAUACAGCCACCACGCUCUCCACCUCGCAUGUCCGGCCAACUCACGUGUAGCACGACCCACGCCCUACGUUCACCAUACCUGCAACUAGUAGAAGUAAAGAAACCGUUGUAAAGUUAGCUAUAAAAGGCCACGAAUUUUCAUUUGUUGGAUUUUUUUUUUGGAAUACAAAAUACACAAAGAAUCCAAGAGCAAUGAAAGAAUACUUCAAGGUGAUUCAUCAUUAUUUUAUUCUAUUUUUUUCAUUUUCAUUUGAGUUCACGAAAUAUAAAAUAAUAUAUCGUAGAAGGGAGAGAAGUCGUAUCUUUUGAUUUGCUAGCAAAAGAGGGAAAUUUUCAGCCUUUCGGUGGCCGUCUACAGCAGUGCGCGAGGCGGCAGAAGAGGGCCUGGGUUUUUGCCCUUUCGGCUGAGAAAGGAAAAUGAUGGAAAUGUUUUAGGUUUUUUUUUAAAAAAAAAGGUUAAAAUAUUUUUUAAAGCAGGUUUUAAGCAAUAGAAGGAAAUAGCAUUGGGGAAAGGAACAGACAGCUUUUUGACUUGGUCUAUGUGCAUAAUUUCUUUGAAUGAUUAAUUUGCGCGAUUGGUCCCUUCCCUCUUGCACUGGCUUGUAAUUGAAGCUUCUUUAUAUUUUCUAUUUUUUUAAAAUUGUCCCAGAAAUUUGUGCGUCCAUUCAUUUCAGUCCGUGCUGAAAAGAAUUGUUUUGGGGCAUGGUUUAUUUGCUUUUUCGGUCCUUGCAAAGUAAUCUUGCUGAAGCUCGGGGAAGAGUAGUUAAUUUACACACGCUACAUUUGGGUCCUAAUUUUGGUUUUUAACGGCUUAUUUUAUUUAUUAAUUGUCCCAUUUAGUUUAAUUUUAUUUCAAUUGAGUUUGUUUUCCCCAUUUCAACAUGUAUAAUCCAUUACUUCUUUAAUUUAUUUAGCAUUCAACUCUUUUUUUUAAAAAAAUUUAUUUAAACAUACAUUUUGGGCUACUUUAAUAAUUUUACCUUGUUUUUUAUUUGUUCAAAUUGUAAAGUGUUAUUUUAAAAUUCUAUUUUAUGUAGUAUCAUUUUAAGUUCUUGUAUAAUAUAUGGUUAAAAUACAUUUAUAUACUAUUAUUAUACAUAUAUAAUUUUUGAUAAAAUUAGCCCUAUUCUAUAUACAUUAUUGUUUUCAUAUUAUUUUAUGUAAAUAUUUUCUUUUAAAUUUAUUAUGUAUAUAUAUUCUCUUUAAAAUUUAUUUAUGUAUAAUUUGGGCUUUCUUUUAAGGAUCUUAUUUUUAAUUGUAUAUUUUAUUUAUUUAGAAUACUUUAGUAUCUUUGUAUAUGCAUUAUUAAUAUUUUUUCCCCUACAUGCGUCAUUAGUCACAUCAAUUUGUUUUACUUGAAAUUAUGUUAUACACUAUUUAUUUCGAAUUUCUUCUUGUAUAUUAUAUGUUUUAAUAAUUGUUUAUGUAUUAUCAGUUUUUGUGUACAUAUUAGUUAUGUUGAAUUUUAACAUGUGUUAUUCCUUUAUAUAUUUUUCAUACGGGUUUUUGAAUUGUUUUGCUAUGGUUCCUGAUUUUCAUAUGGUCUUAUGUAUUAUGAGUUUUUUUUUCCAUAAUUUAUUGUUUAUAAUUAUAUUUCUAUUUCUUAUUGUUAUAUCAUGAUUAUAAUUCUCAUAUCCACUUAAUAUCGAUUGUCCUUUAUUUCAAACAAAUCAAGUAAGUAUAUUUUGACUCAGUUUUUGUAAUUGCUUAUUUGAAAUUUCACAAAUCAAGGCAAUGUUUUGUGUUUGGAAAUUCGAGGAAUCGUGCCCUAACGUGCUGGGUUUCGAUUUAUCGUUGGACCAAAUAACCGAAUACCCUUUUAAAAAUUUUUGUCUCGUGUUUUUGAAAUCAUGAGGUGAUCUCAUUUUUGGAGGCUUAAAAUAUCGUGUCCUAACGUGCUGGAUGUGGUAUUUUAUUCCUUUGGAACGAGUGAAUCUUAAAAUCCAACUUGAGUUGUUUCGCGUGUUUUGGAAAUCGUGAGGUGAUCUCAGUUUUUUUUAGAAGUUUAAAAUAUCGUGUCCUAACGUGCUGGAUGUGGCAUUUAACUCAUUUGGAACGAGUGAAUCUUAACAAACUCGAAUUGUGCACGCACUUUUAAGGGGAUUGUAUUUCAAUUUUUUUUUAAAUUUUCAACAUUAGGACAUAAAUUAAUCAAUUAGGUACCAAUUUUGGGCGUUACGAGGGUGAUAAUCAUUCCUCGUACGUAACCGACUCCCAAACCCAUUUCUUUUUUUUUUUCGUAGGCCAAAACUCAUAGUUUAAUAAAAUGAUUUAUUAGGUGAUCCGAUCACACCUAAACCAAAAAAGAUUGGUGGCAAUUCCUUAAUUCGUUUUUAAAGUCGAUCCCUGUUUUUUUCAAACUUUUAAAAAUGGUUUUGACAAGCAGUAAUGAUAAGCAAACAGCAAUUAGUAUAAAGUAAAUAAUCCCUUUAAUUUUUUUAAUUACUUCUAAAAUCAAUAAAAUGAUUUUUAAAUUUAAUUUUUUAAAAAUUGCUAAUGUAUUAAAUAAUUUAAUUUCCUAAAUUAGCAUGAAUUAAGUAAAUUAUAUUUAAUAUUAAUUUCUUUUACAAAAAUCAUAUUAUAUUAUGAUUUUAAAUUAAUUUCCUAAAUUAGCAUGUAUUAAUUUAGAAAAUUUAGUGUGAGCACUUGAUUUUAAAAUGUUUUUAUUAACUUCAUUUGGUCAAAAAUCAUAUUUUAUUAAAAAAUUUUAAAAAAUAAAUCAAAUUAAAUUUCUUAAAUUAAUUACGUGAAUUAAGUAAAAUCCAAGGUUGACUUUUUAUUUAUUUUAAAUUUAAUUCUUUAAAUUUGCGUGAAUUAAGUAAUUUCAAAAUGAUUUUUUUUAAAUUUCGAAAUGAAAUCUUUAUAUGUUGUUAACUUGUAUUGUUUAUGAUAUUUAAUAUUAAUUUUUUAAUUAUAUUAUUAAUAAAUUUAUUUUUAAACAAAAUUUAAAUACAAUAAAUGAGUCUCACAUCAAUCCUAAAGUCAAUUUAAUAUCAAUCAAUUAGAGGAAGAUUCAUCUACAACUAAAAUUACCUUACUUGUUUCAAUAUGUUACUUAUAUAUAUAUAUACAUAUACAUAUAUAUCAUUAAAAUAUAUAUUCCAGUGAAUCACUAUUCUAGUAAUGAUUAAGUCGUAAUAAAUAAGUGUGUUCAUUAAAAUAUAUCCUUUUAUAUGAAAAGAAAAACAUCUAUUUUGAAUUGUUUGGAAUUAUCAUAAUGAGGAUGUAGAUCCCAAAUUUUGCUUCGAUCCAACAAACAAAGCCUGGAACACCAAAUAAAUUAACAGUCCAAUUAACAUUUCACUAAACCAACUAUUAAACUACCCCACUAAAUCACCCCACUAAUUCCAUCAUCCAACUUACCUGCAAAAAGAAAGAGGCAAUCAGUUAUAAAAUUUGGCUAUAGAAGCCAUUCAAAACUAUUAUAAAGGGGUUUUUUUUUUUGGAGAAAAAAGGAGAGAGAUUCAAAUAAAGACUUUCAAUACAAGAAAUACACGAGAUUAAUAAAAAAUCAAAGCAAAAGAGGUUUUUUUUUUUAGGUUCGGCCGCCGUGUACGGUGACGCCGACGGCGGUGCGUGGAGGUCCGGUGACCGAAGCAAGGCCAGACCGAUGGCCGAAUUUUGAAGGGAGGGGGAGAGUGUUAUUAUUAUUAUUAUUUUAUUAUUACUUUUACCUUUUUAUUACUAUUAUUAUUUUUAUUAAUAUAAUAUUAUUUCCUUUUUUUAUAUGUUGUUAUUAUUAUUAGCACGUAUAUUAUUAUUAUUAAUGUAUCAUUGUUAUUUUCUAUUUUAGUAUUACUUUUAUUAUUAUUGUUUCUAUUAUUAUUAUUUUCAUUACUUCCAUUGUUAUUAUCAUCAUUUUCUAUUAUCAUUAAUAUGUCAUGUGUUCAUUAUUAUUAUUUUUUUAAUACUAUUAUCAUCAUUAUAUAUUUACUUUUUUUUAAUAUUAUUACCAUUAUAUAUUUUUUUAUUACUAUUAUUUUUAUUAUCUGUCCUACUUUUAAACUAUUUCAUUCAAUAUUUUGUUGUACAUGGUUUAUUUAUCCACUCCCGAUUUAAAUUAAAUUUUCAUUCAAAUUUUUCUUUGUUAUUCCAUUUUUUAUCUCUAUAUUAUUUUACUUAUUAUUUUUUAUUCUGGAUUUUUCAAGUAAAGGCAAUAUUCGGUACUUGGAAAUUCGAGAAAUCGUGUCCUAACGUACUAGGUUUCGAUUUUUC
rnacentral:lncRNA from 1 species